rnacentral:lncRNA from 1 species
AAAAAAAAAGGUUAGGGACCCAAGUGAAAAUUGGUGAAAAAGUUAGGGACUACAGGUGUAAUUAACCCUUAUUAAAAUUAUAAAACUAAUAAUAACUGCAUGCAAUUUAUGUAUUACGGACGUCAUGGAACACGUCAUGGACUCGUGUCCAGCUGGAACACGUUGUGAACGUGUGUUUGAUGGCAAGUCUACAAUACAUUCAAUUAAGGGUUAUUCAAUUAAUUUAUAUUUUAGGAUAAGGGUCUAUAUACCUUCUUGUUUAUUUCUAAGUGAAAUAAAUGAAGCGGGUAUCAUGCUAUCUAUCUCUCUCUCAAAAUAUAUAUAUAUAUAUAUAUCUCAAAAAAUAGAGCACCAUUUUUUUUGAAUAUUAUUAAGUGUACCCUAAAUUAGAAAUCCUAGUAAAUUCUAGGCUAAAUUAUAGAAAAUCUCCAUGUAAUAACUCGCUUUCUCGCUUUCCCCCCCUGACAUUUAAAAACCUACACUUUGCCCCCCUGUAAAAUGAAAAAUGUUCACAGGAAGGAUUACGGUGUGUAAAAUAACCAUUUUGCCCCUCGCCAUUGUCGUCUUCUUUCCCAUCUUCCUCAGCCGUCCCUUCGUUCGACCGCGAUUCCCACCUCAAUCGGCCGCGAUUUCUCUCCAUUUUCUUCUCCAUCUGCUUUCCUUCUCCUCCUGCACCCUCGCCGCCCUCGAUUUCGGCGACAGUAGGAGAAAACUGAAGUGGGCGACAGUAGGAGGAGAGCAAAAAAGGCGAAGGCAAGGCGGCGAAGGACGGCGAAGGGGAUGUGGGUGAGGGCGAGGCAGUGGAGGACGGGUAGAGGUGGAAACUAGCCGAGCUCGAGCGAGCUUAUGUCAGCUCAAAUUCUGCUUGAAAUUAAUUUCGAGCCUAAAUCUAGGCUCAAGCUCGGCUUGAAAUUAAUUCGAGCCGAGCUCGAGCAAGCCUAAUUUCGAGUCGAGCCGAGCUCGAGCUCUAAACGAGCCGAUUGAAAUUCUCGACAUUAUAUAAUCAAUAGUUUAAUUUUUAUAUAAUAUCACCUAUAAUUUGAUGCAACAUGUUCAAUAGUUCAAAAUACAAAAUAAUUGUAAGAAAUGUGAGUUAGGGUGACUACAGAGAGAGAGAGAGAGAGAGGGGGGAAAAAUUAGGGAUUUGAAAAUUUGAAUGUUAUCAUGUUUUAGGGUUAUGUGCAACAGUGAAAGUCUGAAAGAGAGAGUAUGUUAUGUAAUUUAGAGUUGGUUUCAAUUGCACGGUUGUACUUGUUGGGUUUAUUUUAUGGGCCAACAAUAAUGGCCCAAAUUAAAUUAAAACCUAUAUAUAAUUAAAAUACAUUUUAUAUAUAUAUAUAUAUAUAUAUAUAUUCGAGCUUUCGAGCUUUUCGAGCCUAAUUCGAACGAGCCGAGUAAUACUCAAGCUCGGCUUGAAAUGAAUUUCGAGCCUUUUAUUUUGUUCAAGCUCGGCUCAUUUAAUUUCGAGUCGAGCUCGAGCGAGCCGAAUAUCGAGCCGAACACGAGUCGAACGCGAGCCGGCUCGCUCGUUUGCCAGCCCUAAGGACGGGGAGGCGGCGAGGCGGCGGCGAGGUGGCGAGCCGGAGGGAGGCGAAGCAAUAGGGAGAUAGCGGAGGGGUAUUUUCAGCAUAAAAAUAUAUUUUUUAACGGAACCCUAACGGUAGGGGGUGAAGUGUACAUUUUUUAUUUUACAGGGAGGCAAAGUGUAGAUUUUUAAAUGUCAGGGAGGAAAAGUGAAAAAACGGAUUAUUACAAGGGGGUUUUCUGUAAUUUAGCCUAAAUUCUAUAAUUAAUUCUAUGUUGAAUCAUAUUUGGGGUAAUAACUUGGUGAGUUUUGUUGCCUACAUACAAUUUUAACUUUAUUAAAGCAUGUAACUCCUUUUGUUACUAGGAGUAUUUAAAUAUUUUGUUAAAAAAAAAAUUAAUAGUAAUAAGUUUUCAUCCUUAACAAGUUAUAGGAGCAUAAAACACCCUAUCAAACAAGUAUAAUGAAAUUGUGAUUUUAUGCAACUAUGAUUAGUUCUGUUAUAGUUUUUUUUCUUAUAUCUUAUUUGGGCCCCGAGUUGGUGCAGGUAAUGAUUGUCUAGUCUUUGAAAUUUUAUUUUCUUUCUUUAAUAAAAAAAAAUCAAUUAAUAUCAAUUUUAAAGACGAUAGUGUCCGCUAUAAUGCACCUAAAUAAAUAAAAAAAAAACCUGUAUAUCCGCUUAGUCUUUUUAUUUAUUUAUUUAUUUAUUUUUUGGUUGUUGCUUCGUAUCUAUUUCCCAACUAUCUAGGUUAAGUAGUCAAUUUGACUAUUUUACUAAUUACCAUUUUCAUCUAAUUAAUUGGAAGGGAGAGAUUCCAAUCAUGAACAGCUGAAUCGGAGGUAGCCCGAAUAUAGCGGGAUUAACCGGAUACUUGCGAGUAUCCGGGAAGCAUUAACUUCUUAAUCUCUAGUCCUUUUAAGUCUAUUUAAUUAGACUAGUAAAUAGGCUCAUUUUCUUUUUAUUUAUUUAAAUUUUUUCGUUUUUUCGUUGUUCAUUUUUUGGGAAAACACUUCUCAAAACUUCAAAAAUAUUUUAUUUAUCCCUAUUUUUUUUUUUCUUUCUAAUAUACCCUUCAUAUGUUUCUCCGUUAUUCUAAAGUACCCUUGCAGUUACCACAUGUUAAGCUAACUUAAGUUAAAUAUGAGUUAAAUAUCUAUCACAAUUAAAAAGAAUUAAAAUGCCACUUUUGUUCUUAACUUAAGGGCAAAUAAGAAAUGUUGGUGACGGUAGAAAUGUAUAUUUGAAAAGAUCAAAAAAUAAAAUAUUUUUUGUGUCCCAAAUUUAAGGGCAAAUAAGAAAUAUUAGUGAUGGUAGAAGAAUAUAUUUGAAAGGAUAAAAUAAUAAUUUUAUAGAAAUAAUAGAGUUCAUUAACAGAUUUUAACUCUAGAAGUAUAUUUGAAAUAAGUUGGAACAUAAAAAGAAUAUUUUCAAUAUUAUCCUUCUAAGAGNUGUAAAAUGACCAUUUUGCCCCUCGCCAUUGUCGUCUUCUUUCCCAUCUUCCUCAGCCGUCCCUUCGUUCGAUCGCGAUUCCCACCUCAAUCGGCCGCGAUUUCUCUCAUUUUCUUUUCCAUCUGCUCCCCUUCUCCUCCUGCACCCUCGCCGCCCUCGAUUUCGGCGACAGUAGGAGAAAACUGAAGUGGGCGACAGUAGGAGAAGGGCAAAAAAGGCGAAGGCAAGGCGGCGAAGGACGGCGAAGGGGAUGUGGGUGAGGGCGAGGCAGUGGAGGACGGCGAGGCGGCGAGGCGGCGGCGAGGUAGCGAGCCGGAGGGAGGCGAAGCAAGAGGGAGAUAGCGGAGGGGUAUUUUCGGCAUAAAAAUAUAUUUUUUAACAGAACCCUAACGGUAGGGGGUGAAGUGCACAUUUUUUAUUUUACAGGAGGGCAAAGUAUAGGUUUUUAAAUGUCAGAAAGGAAAAGUGAAAAAGUGGGUUAUUACAAAGGAAUUUUAUGUAAUUUAGCCUAAAUUCUAUAAUUUAUUCUCUGUUGAAUCAUAUUUGGGGUAAUAACUUGGUGAGUUUUGUUGCCCACAUACAAUUUUUAACUUUAUUAAAGCAUGUAACUCCUUUUGUUACUAGGAGUAUUUAAAUAUUUUGUUAAAAAAAAAAAUUAAUAGUAAUAAGUUUUCAUCNGAAAGAGAAAUAGAGUCAAGGUUAGAAAGAAUGAGAGGGUUGAGAUUUUAGAAAAGGAGAGGGAGAAAUAGCUUAAUUUAGAGAGAGAAAAAGAGUUGAAGUUUAGAAAAAAGAGAGAGAAUAUAGGUUAGAAAGAGAAAGCAUAAUUAAAGAAGUAGAAAGAGAAAUAGAGUCAAGGUUAGAAAGAAUGAGAGGGUUGAGAUUUUAGAAAAGGAGAGGGAGAAAUAGCUUAAUUUAGAGAGAGAAAAAGAGUUGAAGUUUAGAAAAAAAAAGAUAAGUUUAGAGAGAUGAGGUUAGAGUGUAAAGAAAAAUAAUACCAACUAUCUGGCGGGUGGGAAGAAAAAAAAGAUUAGACAUAUUAUAAUUACUCUAAUCCAUUAAUAAAAGGAUACCCACCAUUCCUCAAAGAAAUGAGAUUAGUACUUUAGGAUGCAUCUCAUUUCCAAGUAAAUCUAGUAUUACUAACUAGAUUAUUUAGUGCGUUUAGUCAAAUACCGUCAUAUUUUUUUAUUCCUAUUGGAUUACUAGGAAUCUUAAAAGGAUAGCGCGAACCAAACGCACCCUUAAGGAGAUUUUAGAUAUCUCUUUUAGAGAUAAUUGCCUAUAUACUUCUUAAAACUUCGAAAAUAUUUCAUGUGUCCUUACUUUUGUUUUUUUUUUCUUUUCAAUAUACUCGUCAUAUGUUCCUCUAUUAUUUCAAAAUAUCCCUACAAUUACCACCCCUUUAAGUUAACUUAGCUUAAACAUGAGUUUAAUAGUUAUCAGAGUUAAAAAAAUCAAAAUAUCUUUUUUGCCCUUAACUUAAGAACAAAUAAGAAAUAUUGGUGAUGGUACAAAAGCAUAUUUGAAAAAAUCAAAAAAUAAAAUACUUUUUGUGUCCCAAACUUAAGGGCAAAUAAGAAAUAUUAGUGAUGGUAGAAUGAUAUAUUUGAAAGGAUAAAAUAGUAAUUUUAUAGAGAUAAUAGAGUUCAUUAACAAAUUUUAACUCUAGAAAUAUAUUUGAAAUAAGUUGGAAGAUAAAAAGAAUAUUUUCAAUAUUAGCCUUCUAAGAGAAGUAAAUCAGAAAAUCGGAAACCGAAAACUUUUCAGAAGUAUAUAAACAAUUGCUCUCUCUCCAUAUAUAUAUAUAAAAUAUAAAAUUAUAAAUAUUUUAGCUUUUUGAUAAAUAUAUAUAAUUUUUUUUAAAAAAUAAUAUAAAUACACUAUAUAUGGUGGAGAAUUUUUUUUUAAAAAUAUAUCAGCUAUUAAUAAAAAUUUUAUUAAAUUUCAUUGAUAUGAAAAAUAUAAUAAUAAUUUAACAAAAUUAUUAUUUUAUUAAUUUUGUUUAUGUUGCGUUCGUGUUCUAACUUUUUUUAGAAAUUAUCGAGUCGUAUUGUCCGAAUAGUAUCGUGCCGUGUGUUCUAUUUCGUGUCUCCAAUCGCUUUGCUCGAAUCGUAUCAUGUCUCGUGUUCUAUAUUCGUGUCCAUAUUUGUGUCCAGAUACAGAGUUGGUUAUACGUGGAUGGGACGCAACAGCUACUUUUUUAUGUAUGUUUGGAAAAAGACACCAAAAAGUGCAAAUUUCCAGUGUGUUCUGAAUGUUGGUGGAAAGUUUUAGAUAAAAUUAGUUAAUUUUUUUAAAAAAUAUUAAUAAAAUUUUAACUAAUUGAUUUUAAACUCUGGUCAGAAUAAAUGUAGAUUUUAAAAUAUAAUUUAAAAUUUUAAGCUUGAAUGUAAAUCUGGAACGAGGAGUAUGUUUCCAGAUUUAAGAUUAGAAUAAAUCUGAAUCAUAUAAUUUAUUUAAAAUAUAGUGAAAACUUUAAAUAUGAUUCUUGUGGUUUCACACUUUCUUAUUUUAUUUUUUUAUUAUCGAUGUCACUAGUUUUUUUCCUUAAAUUAGUGACAAAGUUAAAACUAAAGAGUACUAAAGUGAAUUUUUGAUAAAUCUAGAAGAGAUAUCUGAAGUUUUUUGUAUAUAAUUUAAUAAAAUAUUAAUGAAAAAGCGAAUAAAAAGAUAAAAAUAAAAUCACAAGACACUAACUUGAUAUAUUUUAAACUAUAGGGCACUAAAGUGAGAAAGUGCGAAACCACGGGGGUGACAUUUGAAGUUUAUCCUAAAAGAUAUAUAUGAACUCAAUAAUAGUAGGAAUAAAAUAUGCAAUGUAAUAAAAAAUAGUCAACAAAUAUAUGGUGCAUUUAUAUACAGAUGCAUUGUGGAAUAAGCAAGUAUUAUAGUAAUUAUACUAAUUUUGUGUUUAGAUGAGAAUCGAAAAAUUGUAAGGGAUAAAAAAAAAAAAUUAUGUUUGGGUGAUUGGUUUGCAAUAGUAAAAAUAAAAAUAAUUAUGAUUGAAAAAGUUAAAUUCAUUAAUUAAUUAGUUAAUUAUUAAUUUUACAAGACAAAUAAUUAAUUAGUCGAUUAUAAAAAUUAACUGCAUUAAUUAAUAAUAUUUUAUAAUUAAUUAUUUAUUUUAAUUAUUUAUAACUUAAUUAGUAGAUGAAGGAAUAGUAAUUUUUAGGGAGAAUAAGAGGAAUAAAUCUCUCUUUAUCUCUCCAAUCAAACAUGACCUAAACUUCAAUACUACCCCUGUGGUUUCACAUAUUCUUACUUUAGAAUCCUAUGAUUUAAAGUGUAUCAAUUUAGUCCCAUGCGGUUUCUUUUUUUUUUUUUUCUCAUCAGCUUCUCUGUUAACAUUUUGUAAAAUUAUAUACAAAAAACUUCAGAUAUCCUACCCAAAUUUAUCGAAUAUUCACUUUAGUACCUUUUAGUUUUAAUUUUGUCGCUGAUUUAAUUUAAAAAAAUUAGUGGAGGGGAUAAUAAGAAAAGUAAAAUGAAACCACGGGGCACUAAAUUGAUACACUUUAAACUAUAGGGUACUAAAAUAAAAAAUCACGAAACCACAAGGGUGGUAUUUAAAGUUUUCCUUAGUAAAUAUAUAUGCGGAGUGGAGUGAAGUGGAGUGGAGUGAAACUUUGUUAGAGAGUUUAAGGGCUGUUAACGCCGAAGUUAAAUGUUGGAGGGCCAAAAUGAAACUUUUCCAAUUUAUGAAUUUAUAAUAUCAAAAAUUUAAUUUCUUGGUGAUUUUGUACAAAAGAAUUGAAUAGGAUUAGGACUAAAAAUAGAUUAGGAACAAAUAUAAUCAAAUUUCGUGUUUGGAACUUCUCCGAUGAGGAAUGGAUGGUGUAAUAAAAUUAUAAAUUUAAACCAAAAAUCAAAAUUGAGAACCUAACUUUGAACUUGAGUUGAACUUUUAAAUUUGAUUCAAAACUUAGGUUUUCAAUGAAAAUUGAAAAUAAAAUUAGGAGUCAAGAAGUUUCGAAUUCGAAUUAAAAAUUUUCAUUGAGGUAAAUUUGAAUUGAAUUUUCAAAUCAAAAAUUUAUAUUUGAAUUUCAAAAUUUUGAAUUUGAAAUUUAUUUUUUGAUGAAAUUUUGAAAUUUUUAGGCUAAAACUUGAAUAAAUUGAGAGGAGUAGCAAUAUUCAAAUUAAACUGUGAGAGAGAGGUGGAAUAAUUUUUGUUAAAUCGAAAAUUAUUUUUGUAGAACCUGAAAUCAAAACUAAAUUAAAAAAAUAAAAAUUUAAAACGGUGACCAAGCCCAAUCGGGUACAAAAAUUCAAAUUCAAAACCGAACGCGAAUAAAAAAAUCAAAAAUUUUAUAUCCUACAAGAAGAUACACUAGAUAUUAAAUAAAUAAAUAUUGAAUAUAAAAUAGUUUUUUUUAUAUAUUAGAUUUAAUUCAUAUUCCGGUUCCUUCGGAUACGGACCAAAGAAAAACGGAUCUCCAAUAUCAUACCCGUUUAGCCUAAUCCAGCCUCUCAAACGUCUCAUGGGCCGGCCCAAUUCAAUUACGGCCCACAAAUUAAAACCCUAAUAAACCCUAAAUCGAUUUCGAUUUCGAUUUCGAUUUCGAUUCUUGGUUCUUGUUCCUCGUCGCCCCCUCUUUCAAUCCACACCUUCUUAUCAUUUUCCGGUAAUUUUUGUGGAUUUUAUCAGUUUCUGUUUUGAAUUUUUUCCUUCGGGUGUAGUAAUUUUUUUUCCCUUUUUUUUUUGAACAAUUUUAGUAUACAUAACCCUGAUUUAUAUCUUUUCUAGGGUAUUUGCGGAGAAUUUUGUGUUCUAGCAAUCAGAAGCUGCGUGAUUAAGCUAAAGUUUCAAUCAUGGGUAUGUAAUUGCUGCAAAGGUUAUAUAAAUCUCUCAUUUUUUAUGAUCCGAUUCGGCUUUCGAACAUCUUCUCUGUCCCUGUUCUUCCAGAAAAGGUCGAAGCAAAAUCCCGCAGGGAGAAGCGGAAAGAAUCUCGUUUGGAAAAGAGCAGGAAUCGGUUUCAAUCUUGGGUUCAGCACCAGGUCCUCAAAAUUUUCUUUUUUUUCUUUUUGUUAAUCUCUUUUAAUAGUAGCUUAGUUUGGAGUACUGUGAUCUGAAGUUACUUGCAAAUCAGGGGACUAAGAAGAAGAAAAAUGCGGCGUUGAAUGAUUCAAGUCGCGGUGGUGCGGAGAUGAAAUUCGGCGGAAAAUCCGACUCUUCGAGGAAGAGGAGGAAAAAUGCUGUAGAGAGUAAAUCCAAAUCCAAUUCCAAGUUUCAGGAGUUUCUGAGAAUGGAUAUGGGACUGGCGGCAGCCGGAGCGGAGGAGGAUCUGGAAAUGGAAAGGAGGCUCGCGAAGAAGCUCAAGGUGAAGGAUGGGAGAUUGGCCGGUCUCGACGAUGGACUAAACAUGAUCUUUGAAGAUCUCGAUCCAAUUGAGGACUCCGUUGUUGUUAAUGGUGGCGUAGAAGAUGGCGGCAGUGAGAAGCUUCUUAGGUCGGAUAAGAAGAUGAGAUCGAAGAAAAAGAAGAAGCCGCGAGAGAGCGAGGUAGCUGAGGAGGUGAUUGCUGGAGCAUCGGAUACUGAGAUUAUUGAAGAGCCUUGUGCAGAGAAACCUGCGGCGGAGAGGAAGGCGAAGUAUGUGGCCCCGCAUCUGCGAGGUUGUGCGAAUGCCGAGUCAGAAGAGAUUUCGCAAAUUCGCCGCAGAGUUAGAGGUUUCACGGUUUCGCUUCUCUCGUGUCUCCUUUCGAUCCUUGUUUUCUGAUUAAUUGGUUGGGUCUGAUUUGUUGCAGUUGUAUGAUUCAUCGCAGGGCUUCUGAACAGGCUUUCCGAGUUGAAUGUGGAAUCUAUCACAGAAGAAGUCGCCACAAUUUUUCGAGUAAAAUCCGCAAUCCUGCUUCUAAUUAUAUUCUUUUGAGCUUUAUUUGUUGCAUUGCUGUUGACUUUUCUGCAGUCAGUUUCUCGCAGUGUUGGCUGUCAGGUAAUUGGUGAUGAGGUUGUCGCUUCUUGUUCUGGCGGACCCCGUGGCAAUGAACAGUGAGAGCUCUUCUAUCCUCUUAUCGCCUCAAAUCCAAGCUUCAUUAUUUAUACAUGUUCUAGUCUAAUGUAACGGAAGCAUGAUCUGAAAAUGCUUGAUUGAGCUUUCACUUGAAGAAGUACUGUUCUAGAUAACAGUGCAUUAGUAAACUUUUAGCAAUUUAGAUGCUGUUUUGAACAUUGUGGCUUGUAAAUGGUUUACUGGAUAUUAGCAUUCUUAUCUGCAGUUUGGAAACCUACUUUCCCAAUUUCUUCAUCUAUAGUGCCUUGAUUUUUUUUUUUAUUGUUUUUUUAAUCCUACAUUGGGAAUGCAGAAUAUGUGAAAGGAACUUUGAACCUUUAGUUGCUUUUUGGGGUUGCAUUGUGCUUAUGGUGAUAUGGAUAAUAUUGCCUCAAGAGAUAUAAGUACUAAGUACGAUUAAACUGGAAAGGUCAGACACCUGAAUAAGAUCUUGAUAAUUCUUUGUACGACUCUUUUUCAAGCACUAGAAAUCUAGAGGUUGCACGCAGUCUGUAGGUUUUCUGGUAUAGAAGAUAAUCACCUUAAGAACUUGUUUUGUAAGCAGAGAUUUAUGUACUUUGUAUAGAAGUAGAGGAAAAUACCUGUUAUUUGGUUAGAAUGCAUGUUUUCAAAUACUCAGAACGCCAUCUUUUGUUUUUGCGACCUGUGAAGCCCAGUAACAUCCUUUAUUUGGAGUAUUGCAUGUGUUAAUCUAGUUUUCUGUUUACAACCUUAGUGUUUUCUGAAGUAUGGUGCUAGAUUACCCAAUUGAUUCAAGAUGUAAUCUGCUGAUAUUGUUUCAUAUAAUAUGUGUAUUUGUCUGGUUCUUCUAUUUAGUCAUAAAGUUAUUUAAUAAUUACAUGAUUCUCUAAAUCUCUUAGAUCAAAUUAUUAAAUGAUAUGAUUUUCUUUUAUUCACGAGGAAAUGCUUCUAUUCGUUGUAUCAAGUAUUUCUUACCAGAUUAGUAGUAUACCCAGUUUGCAGUCAUAGCAAUAACACGGAUACUUUUUCUCUCUGUAGGUACGGUGCUGUAUUCGCAGCCUUUGUUUCAGGUAUGGCAUGUUUAGUUGGGGUUGACUUCAGUGCGAAGCUCCUUGCUUCCCUUGCUAAAUCAUUUGAGGUAUAGCCGAAACAUACCAUGAUAAUCAUCAUCCUUUGUUUUGGGUAUUAUAGCCAUUAUGAAUUUCAAUGGUUUUUCUAGAAAAUAAGUUUCGAACUUUUCCUGAUUAGCAUUUCCGUUUGCCUUUUAGGAUGAAUACUCGAAGGAAGACAGCCUAUCUUUGCGGAAUCUCACCUUACUAUUGUCGUACUUGUGCAUAUUUGGUGCUUGUUCGAGGUUUGAUGGCACAACUACUAUUUUUCUAUGGAUGCUUAUAUUUUAUUUAUAUGUGCGUAUGCCUAAUCACAAGCAAUCAAUAUCGGUCGUACUUGGUAUAACUAGAUUUUUUGCUUUCAAAUAUGUGAUAAUUGAGUUAUCCUUUUCCUUUUUCCCUUUUCCCUUUUCUUACUUCUCUUCGGCCUUGUGUGCAGUGAUCUUUUAUAUGACCUUCUUUCGGAGUUGGGCAAGCGGUUGACAGAGUUAGAUGUUGCUACAAUCUUGACUAUCUUACAGUGUAUGUUCUUGAUGACUUUGGUUCAUGGUUGUUGCUGUAACUUGAAAUUUCAAUAUUGGUUAUGAUCUUCUUUUGAUAUAACCUAAACUAGACUUGUAAAGGCUGUAAAUAGUUUUCUUAUGAACUGAACAGGUUGCGGAAUGAAACUCAGGGGCGAUGAUCCCAGCGCUAUGAAAGAUUUUGUCCUUAGCAUUCAGAAUAGAGUAAAUGUGUUGAAAUCUUAUUCUGAAGGCACACAAGAUGGGAAUCCAAACAUAAAUAGUAAAAGAGUAAUCUCCUUAUGUCCCUACUUCCUUUUUCAAAAUGCUGCUUCUCUCGAACUUGUUCAUGUCUGGCUUAACUUAUGUGCAGAUGGAAUUCAUGCUCGAGACAAUCUGUGAUAUUAAAAACAACAAAAGAAGGCUUAAAGAGGAUCCUGCGCAUCAUACACGGUUGAAGAAAUGGCUACAAAAGGUCCAUGCGAUCAUCCUUUCACUGUAUCAUGAAUAGUCCAAGUAAAUCCAGGCCCAAUUCUUCAUUAUUUGAUUCUGGCCCUUUUUUUUAAAAAAAAUUCUUGCUCGAACUCUUGAAGUACUACUUUUAGGUACUUGAUACCAUUUUUGGGCAAAUUUAUGGUCUAUAAUACUGUGCAGCCUCUUCUAGAACUUGUUGAUGUGAAUAUCAUCUUUAAGGCAAAAACACUACGCUGAUUCUUUUGGUGUCUGCAGCUAAGAGCAGAAGAUAUCCUCUUGCGCGGGCUCAAGUGGAGCAAACUCCUCGACCCAGAGAAGAAAGGGCAGUGGUGGUUGUCCGGGGAUGUAGCCCCCACAACGGAAAAUAUCGAUGACGUGGCAACUACAAUCAACAUGGAGGUUUUGGAAGCACAAAAGUUGGUUCAGCUCGCGGCCGCUCAGAGGAUGAACACCGACCUACGGCGGGCAAUCUUUUGCAUAAUUAUGAGUGGUGAAGACUAUAUCGAUGCUUUUGAGAAGCUCCUGAGACUGGAUCUUUCUGGGAAGCAGGUAUAUAUGCACUUUUUUCUUUUAAUCUUUUUCCCCUUAUAAUCAUCCCUUAUUUGUUAUUCACCCUAUUGGAAUUGUGCUUCUAAUUUCUUUUUUGUCGGAACACAGGAUCGGGAAAUUAUGAGGGUCCUUGUUGAUUGCUGUUUGCACGAAAAGAUGUUUAACAAGUACUACACCGUUUUGGCUUCUAAGUUAUGUAGUCAUGACAAAAAUCACAAGUUCAGCUUACAGGUGAGAUGAUUCUUUUGUUUCUUCUUCUGUAGAUGAUUAUAUCCAUAUUUUAUUGCAGAGUUUGUUGUAUCAUGUGCAAGAUAUACUAUGACGAGGUGUUUGAGCUCUUCAUGUGAUUUAUGCUUGCUUUUAAUAAAGCAACCUACCUAGCAAUCAAUGAGAAAAAAUCUUUAGGAAAACGGGGUGGGUUGGUAUUUUUUCGCAGCAUGUGGAACAUCCUCACAUGCUCAUCUAAGAGGAGCCUUAUUAUUUUGUUUUUUUCGCUCUCCCUUUUAUUCCUUUCAAGAAAUACAAGAUACUAGAAAUAACAUUUUACUGCUUUUUCUGCAGUUUCUCAUCUGUUCUCUUUUUGUUCUAUUACUCCAGUAUUGCCUAUGGGAUCACUUUAAAGAACUCGACACGAUGGAGCUGAACCGUUCCAUGAACCUCGCGAGAUUCGUCGCGGAGAUGCUCGCGAGCUUCUCGCUCUCCCUUGCUAUCCUGAAGUCCGUAGACCUAGCCAACCCCGUGUAUCUGACCCCUAAGAGGAUCAUGCAUUUCCGAAUGCUGUUCGAGUCCAUCUUCGAGAACAGCGACGCCCUCGUAUGGAACAUCUUCACCCGCGUAUCUGCCCUCCCGGAGCUCGAGAUGCUGAGGAGCAGCCUCAUCUUCUUCAUGAAGCAGUAUGUUGUCGCCGCAAACACGGAGAAGCCUUUAGCCAGCAAAUUCAAGAUUGCGAAGAAGGCACUUGAUAAUGUUGCUGGAAUCCUCAUGUAAAAAUGCUCUACAUUUUUGUAGACAAAAUGCCUUUUUGUUCCUCUUUCCCUCUUUUAUAUCUUAAGAUCAAAGAUUCGCGCUGUAACUGAGGUAAAUACGACCGGGUUAAUCUAUCUGUUAUGCAGUGAAAAUUAUUCGAAUUAUGUAACAUUGGUUGGGAAAUGAAAGCAGAGAUGUAUCCUGUGUAAAUUGGGUUAAUUUUGUUAGCUACUACUGUGAGAUUGCUCCAGGAAUACAAUAAGAAUUGAACUUAUUCAAUAACCUGCAUAUGAUUUAUCCAAUUCUUAGUGAAGGUUAAAUGUUUCUCCAUAUUGAAUUUGUUCAUUUGUCACAUGCUAAUUAAAUGUGUCUCUAUUAUUAACCAAGUAGGUUAAAUCCGCGAAGUUAACUGCAUGCAAUGAGUUAAAUUAUCAUCUCUUACCUCAUUUUUCAAUUUUACUGUAUUGCUGUAUCCAUUAUACACAUGAGCAUGCACGCCUGUUAAGCAUUCAGCUUAAAUUUCAAUUUGAGGACAAAUUUUGAUUUGAUUUUGCUUCAAUUUUUUGUAGGAAAUUUGAAGACUUAUUUUAUUUUCUAAGAAAAAAAACCAAUAGGGAGACUUUAAUGACAAAAACUGCUAAGAUUUUUCAGAACAUGUCUAUUUAAAUAUCACUUACAACAGAAACUCACAUAAGUCAAACAGAUUCUGAUAAGAAAUGACAAAGAAUUCAAUUAUUUCGCAAAAGGCUAUUUGCAAAAAAGCAUAUAUCUCAUUCUCACUUGAAAAAAGCUAGCCCUUUGAUACUAUCCUUCAAAUCUCUCCUAACAAAUAAAUAUAUAUCAUGUGUUAGUAUUAUCUAUGACUCCUCCCCUUUAAUAACAACUCCUUAUUCCCUUUAUUUAACUAGUUGACUUUAUCACAACUCAAGUGACUUGGUUGUGGAAAAGCUAAGAUAUAGCUUUAUUCCACUUGUAAAGUAUAAUAAUGUAAAUGGACUCAAAAAGAGCCUUAAGUCAAACACCAAGUAGGAGAGAAUCAAAGUAUUAUUUUAGUUGAGUCAUGUUGACUGACUCUUGGGUGGCCUUAAAAUAGAAUAAUGCAUCCAUGAAGAAACUUAUGACCAGGCAAAAUUUCAUAAUAGUAUAUCUAUUUGAAACUUUAUGUAUAUAAUAAUAAUAAUAUUUUAAGCUCUUAUAAGAAUCCGUAGGACUUUGUCUCUUAGGAUCAUCCAAUAGCCAAAAAUAUAGAGAAUUAAAGAAGAAAAAUUUAUUCAAAAUUUCAAAUUAAUAAAGUGUUAUAAAAGAUCUUAGAAAAUACAUUUUAUUUAUAGCCAAACCUAUUAUUCAACGAAAGAAUAGAGAUUGUUUCAUAUGAAUAUGAAUAUGAACAAACACUAGUUUUAGAAUAUAUUCCAUAGAUAAUAUAAUUUCACCAAAUGGUUAAAAGUAGCACUAUAACGUAGGUGUUGAAACGUAUGCAUGCAUAAGCAUAUAAUUAACAAUUUAGAUUUAUACGAUCUCCCCUCUACUAUAAAUAUAUGUGAUAUAAACAACCUUACAGUUGCAAAAGAGUGGAAGAGAGUUCUUACAUGGAGUAAGAGCUUUUGCCUUGUGUAGCCAAGAAUGACUUGCCUAUGACCUCCUUUAGGGUUAGGGUUUCUUCUUCUUCCUCCCUCGAUCUCUCUCUCUUCUUUUUCUUUUUUUUUUCUUUUUUUUUUCUGAAUAGCUCCUUUAGGGCUUUUGAGUGGCUCAAAAGCUCAAGAUGGUUUCAUGGGUCAGUCAUCUUGGCUAUUCAUAGUGGCUCUUAUCGACCGUGUGAGACCUCGAUCUUCUGGACGAGCUAAGUAAUUCUGAUAGAUCUUUCAAAUUCAUGAGAAAGAUUACUAAGUGCCUAUAUAUAUGCAUAUAUUUACACGCAAGAUGGUUUUAUGGGCCAGUCAUCUUUUUUUUUUGGAAUACAAAAGGUAUUAUCAAAGAAGACAAACCCCUUUUAUAUAUAUAUAUAUAUAUAUAUAUAUAUAUAUAUAUAUAUAUACACACCAAGGGCUUGGUACUAUUGAUAGUAUAGUAACAUAAUUCUAUAUAUAUAGAAUUAUGCUACUAUAAUUCUAUAUAUAUAUAUAGUUGAGCUAGAAUACUAUCGGUAGCAAGCGGGCUCCGUUGCCACUCAUUUGUUUUUAAUGAUGGAGCCUCCAAAUCGACGAUCGGUACAGUUGAACAUGAUCUGUACCACUUGAAGUGUUUAGAAAUCAAAUUUCAUACAUUUUCGAUAUUGUUCUCUUAUCCAUCGAGUGGACAAAAAAAUGAACGGCCGAAAAGGAAUAUUUUUUAAAAAAUGAUGAUACGAGUCUUGUAAUUAAGAUCAAGAGUAUAGAUCUUGUUUUAAAUAGUUUAAAAAACUUUCUAAUAAAAAUUCAAUUGAUUUGGAUAUCUUUACGCCGUUAAACGAGCGACCAUUAAAAUUACAAAUUUUGAAACUCUUUGAUCAUUAGGCAAAUGAUGUCGAAAAUGUUUGAAAUUUGAUUUCUAAAUACUUCAGGUGGUAUAGAUCAUGUUCAACGGUGCCGAUCGUCGAUUUAGAGGCUCCAUCAUUGAAAACAACUGGGUGGCAACGCAGCCCGUUUGCUACCGAUAGUAUUCUAGCUCAACUCUAUAUAUAUAUAUAUAUAUAUAUAUAUAAUUGAGCUAGAAUACUUCUAGAAACACCAACCCCAUGAUGCUUCUAAGUUUCUAUCCCUUGGAUCUACUCCUUGAUUACUAAUACCCAUUGGAUCAAACACUAUUCCAACUACCACCACCUACCAACAUCAUCUCAACCUCACAUCUUUCCAUCCAAUGGCUAAAAACUCAAAAGCACCACCUUUAUGGUGCUUUUGACAGUGUUCUAGCUCAACUCUCUCUCUCUCUCUCUCUCUCUCUCUCUCUCUCUCUCUCUCUAUAUAUAUAUAUAUAUAUAUAGUCCGGCUGCUAUACUAUCGGCAGUAUGGAGGCUUUCGUGCUACCAAGUUGUUUUCGAUGAUGCGGCUUCCAAAUUGACAAUCGGCUCCGUUAGACUUGAUCUAUACUAUUGAAAGUAUUCAGAAACUAAAUUUCAGAAUUUUUCGAUAUUAUUUGGCUAGUGUUCAAAAGGUCUCAAAAUUGACAAUUUUAAUGGUAGAUGUGAUGCAUUUGUAAAUUUAACGGUGUAAAACAAUCAAAAUCAGAUGAAAUUUUUAUAGAAAAUUCUUUUUACUAUUUAGAGUAAGAUCAGUACCUCUGAUCUUAAAUUCAAGUCUUCUAUCAUCAUUUUUUAUAUAUAUAUAUAUAUAUAUAUCACUCCGAUGAUUCGUGCCUCGGAAGGCACAAAGGUCGAGCAAAAGCUACAACGCUGAAAGCUUAGCAGCUAGCCGAGGCAAUUUGAACUAGAUCUCAUAAACCUCAUGAAUUUUUUAUUUAAAAUAAUAAAAAGCUAUAGUAAACGGAUCAUUAGUUUACUCGAGUUUUAGUUGUUUAAAGUUACCAGCAUCACUCGGCAAACGUUCAAAUUACCUCAUCUUUAUAGGUUUAGUGCACUUUAAAACUAUCUUUUAAGAAAUAUGAUAUAUUUUGUUCUAGUUAUAGAAACUAAAUUUUAAAAUUACAGUAUAAUAAUGUAAAACAUUCUAAAAAUAAAAGUCGGCAACUAAAACUCGGGGAAGCAAGUGAUCCGUUUACUAUAGCAUUUUAGUAUUUUAAAUAAAAGAUCCAUGAAGUUUAUGAGAUCUAGUUCAAAUUGCCUCGGCUAGCUGCUAAGCUUUCAGCGUUGUAGCUUUUGCUCGACCUUCGUGCCUUCCGAGGCACGAAGGCUAUCGUAUCAUCGGAGUGAGAUAUAUAUAUAUAUUUCUCUCUCUCUCUCUCUCUCUCUCGAUCUGACGAUAUGAUAGCCAUCGAGCCUGCGGAGGCACGAUGGUUCAACAAAAGUUACUACGGCGAAGGUUUAGUUGCUAGCCGAGGCAAUCUGAACUAGAUGUGAUAACUUUCAUAAACGUUUGAUUUAAAGUAUUAAAAAGCCAUAGUAAAUGGAUAGUUUGCUUAUCAGAUUUUUACUUGCCGAUUUUUAUUUUUAGAGUANNNNNNNNNNNNNNNNNNNNNNNNNAAAAAAGUAGUUAUUAAUAUCUAAUUUCGAAUUAGAGAUAUUGAUUCCUUGCCGUGUUAAAUAGUAUAAAGAAUUUUUUUAUCAAAAUUUUCAUCUGAUUUGAACUUCUAACCGUAAUUUACAAUAUUAGUAUACAUUCAAAUCCAUUUUAAAAAUUUUUGAUUUUAACUCUUUUCAAUCUCUAGGUAAAAAUGACAUCGAAAAAUUGUAGAAUUAAUUUUCCAAUUAUUUCAUAAUACCUAUGAUUAAAGUCCUAACGGAUGCUGAUCAUCGUUAUUAGAAAGCUUCAUCCUUUGUUUCAUGAAAAUACUGACUUUAGCGAUGCACGGAGGCUUCCAUGCUCUUCUCCAAUGAACAAAGUACCUUCUCGAUUUUAAUAUUAUUAAUUUAUCUUUUAUUAUUAUAUUUUAAAUAAAUUUUAUUUUCAGUUCUCGUUCAUUUUGAGAUAUUUCACUUAUGGACAAUGAUAAGUCGAAUAUUAUUGAUAAUUUAGCUUCUAUAGAUCUAACAAUUGUGAUAUUAUAUCUUCGUCCUUCCUUCCAAGUUCCGAUUGGCAAUCGGAUUAUGUCUAUCUCAUCAAAAUAAUUUAAAAACUAUGAGAUGUUUCAUACUUUCGAAAGAUAUAAAUUAGUUCCUGUCUGUCCUAUAUAUAUAUAUAUAGAUGAGGGAGAGAGAGAAGUCAUCUACAAUGGUAAAAUGUAAAUUUCAACUAUUAUUUCAUUUUUUAUACACAUAGAACUGUUAUAAGAAAUGGCUAAAGAGUAGUUGUUAUAUAAUAUUUGUAUUUUAGCCCUUUUUUUUUAUUAAUAUAAAUAGUUUUUUUUUUUUUUUUUUUUUUUUUCUUAAACAGCUUUUACCGUUAUAUUAUUUUCGUGGAGAUCCGGAGACACUAACUAAUGGCUUCAAAAGCCUCCUUCACUUUUUCAUCACCGCUCCGGCAUAUGUUUCUGGUCCCGUCAAGUCGCAUUAGAAUUGUCUACAGGUUCUACCUUUCAAUUAUCCAAAGAAAUCAGAUGCGCGACUUCUGAUGGGACGCAGCGCGACGUCAAGAUUCCGCAAAAUUCACUUAUCUUCUCACUCUUCGACUUUUCACAUUCCCAACAUUUCUAAAUACUUUUUGGGCCAAAUGGUUUUCUGAUCUCAAAAGCAUGAAUUCCUGAACCUCAAAUAUUGCUUGUCCUUCAUAGUUCUAUAUAUAAAAGAUACUUCUUAAUAUUACGAUGUUUCAGGAACACAUUGUAUUUAUUAUUAUCAUUUGCUUCAUCUUACCUUUUUCAUCUCUGUUCGUUUAAUCUACUUUAGAUACUUUUACUACUUUUUCCUUCAGCAAUAUCAAUCCUAAAAUUAUUAGUUAAUAUAAUGGCUAUUGGUUCCUCAAUAUAUUGUUACAGAGUUGUGGAAACCAAAAUUUGAACCUAAACUUGUUAAUUAGCUUAAAAUGGGAUUGUACAGUAUACGCUAUAUAAUAUAUAAUAUAUAUAUAUAUAUAUAUAUAUAUAUAUAUAUAUAUAUAUAUUACGACCUAAUGCCACCUAUAGAGAGAGAUAAAGUGAAAAACAAGCGAGAAGUUAAGAGAGAAAUAGGAAAGAGAUAAUAUAUAUUAAUUUUUAAAAAUAAGCAUAAAUAUUAAAAUAUUACGCUAAAGAAACGAUUAAUUUCAGACAGCUCCCUACAAAUAUAGUGAAUGACAAAUAUAUUUCUACAAAGUUCAACUUUCAUAUAUUGUCCCUAUAAAUUUAAGUCGUGAUGUUUUUAAAUAUAUUCCUACCAUUAGAAUCCAUUAAAAAAAUUUAGUUAAUCAUAGGUUAAAUAGUUAACUCUGAUUAGUUUUUGAUAUUUUUACCCCUCUUAUAUUAUACUAUUAUGAUUUUUUAAGGGAUAUAUUUGUGAUGGCAAAAUUGAAAAUAUAAACAGUUUUCUAAUGGUUCUCUAACAGUUCUCUGACCAUGACAAAUCAGAGGGAUAUAUUUGAAAAUAUUAAAACUUUUACAGGGACAACAUAUAUAUAUAAAAUUUAAACUUUAUAGAAAUAAAUUUGUCAUUUACUAUAUUUGCAGGGAUCUGUAUGAAAUUAACCCUAUAAUUAAAUAUGCAUAGUUGCACUUACAUAUCUCACUUGCAUUGCGUUUUGUGGUUGAGAAAUAUGCAAUUCCAAAUUUUUAUUUGGCUGAGUGCAGUUGGAAGUUGUAUUUGCAUAUUUUAUUAUUUCACAUCUGAGAUGGUGAGAUUAUUUUCAAAGAUUUUCUUUUUUUUUAGUACUAAAGAGGGGAGAUGGUUGGUAAAAUUACUCUUCUGCUGUAUUUUGAACUACGUCCAAUUUAAUGGUGCUUUUACUUACAGAGUCAACUACAGCAUGAAGAUGCAACUACAGCAGGUAAAAUAAAACUUUUGAGCUCAUCAGAAGCCACACUUGCAAUGAAGAUUUAAAUGCAAGACAACCCCUAAUACUAAGAACGUUUGAAAUCUCUUCAUAAUUAUUGAAGUAUAUACGUGAAGAACUCAAAGCACUGUAGUAUUAAUUUAUAGGGUUAAUUUCAUAUAGGUCCCUAUAAAUAUAGUAAAUGACAAAUAUAAUUCUAUAAAGUUCAACUUUUAUAUGUUGUCCCUAUAAAAGUCUUGAUAUUUACAAAUAUGUUCAUUUGGUUUGUUACCGUUAGAGAACUAUUAGAGAACUGUUUAUAUUUUCAAUUUUGCCAUCACAAAUAUAUCACCCCAAAAAUUAUAACAAUAUAAUAUAAGAGGGGUAAAAAUAUCAAAAACUAAUCAUAGUUAAGUAUUUAACGUAUGGUUAACUAAAUUUUGCUAACAGAUUCUAACGGCAGAAUAUAUAUAUUUGAAAAUAUUAGAACUUUUGUAGGAACAACAUAUGAAAAUUAAACUUUGUAGGGAUAUAUUUGUCAUUCAGUAUAUUUGCAGAAAUAUGUAUGAAAUUAAUCCUAAUUUAUAACAUUUUGAAUAGUUUAGAUAACAUUUUUGAUUGAGAAUAAUUUCAUGUCAUCAAUCGUUUCUAGUGUAAGUCGUAAAGAGCAUAGUUACUUCACAUUACUGGCUGAUGAGUUUAUUAUUAUUUUUUUUUGAGAGAUAUGUCGUCCGCUGCCCAUUUCGUUUAUUUUAUUUAGAAAUAAAUUUAGCUGGAAAUGUAAAUAAACUAGGAUUCGAACUUGGGACCUCGGGUACCAACUACUGAUGAGUUUAUUUCUAAAAGAAAUGAACGAAGAGGAUGGUAUGCAAUUUUAGAUUUUUGGAAUGCUUUGCUUCAAACAAAAAAAGAAGGAAAAAAAAAGAAAGAAAAGAAAAAAGAACUCCUUUCAAACAACCAAUCUAAUCCAUCAAAAUAAUGCAUGCAUGUUUUUCCAACCCUAAUAAAUGAACUAAUUUUGAACCACUUUGGGCCCAGCCCAAAGCAAUCAAACCAAACCCAACCCAACCCAACCCAACCCAAGUAAUGUAAUAAUUCAUCAGCAUUCCUUUUUGAGAGAGAUUGCACUUGUGAGGGAGUUGUCCGACCGUUGGUACUGCUAACUAUUAAUCUCAAAAAUUUGAACUGUCAGAAUAAUCAAUUUAUUUAAAGUGUACAAAUAUAACACCUAUGGAUCUUGAUUAUAACUUGCCUCAAUCCGACGAUCUGUCACAAGACAAGAUGCUGACUCCUUUAAGCCAGCAGCUUCGUUGUAGCUCUAGAGUUAAUCCCAUAGCCACCAUGAGUUCUUGUAAGGUUUGUAAGACUUGCAACCGAAAUCGGUGAGUGCGAGAAUUGCAGAGUACUACAUCGAUGGUAUGUCGGAUGAAAAUAAGCCAACUGUCGAUGGUUUUGUAAUGACCCAACCCGCUAGUAAUAAUAAUUCGUCGGGUCUAAAUCACCAAUCCAAAAUACUUAAGCCUAGUUAUUAAUAGUAGAGUGCGUGGUCUCUUAUAUUUUCAAUCAAAAUUUCUUUUCUCAUCCGAUGUAGAACUUCAAACCUAAUCAUAUGUAUAGAUUAUAAUUAUCAGGCAAUCCAAUCACACGUAUAGAUCAGAAUUAUUAAACAAUGUAAGAUUCUAGAGGUAGCUCUUGGGGGUUUAAGAGAUGACUGUCAUCAAACCCGUAAUGUAGCGCUUUGCCCUAUAUAUAUAGCACUUAGGUGUUAUGGUUCUAACUGGUAUUCGUCUCUAAUACCAAAUCUAACGAUCCGAUCUGCUAUCAAUAAUAGCUCGUUGGGUCCAAAACAUCGGUCCUGUUAGAACAAAAUACCAUACAAAAAUCUGAUUGUGACUAAUUUUAAAUAAAGACAAUAUCAUACUUACAAAUAAUCACUAAAUUCCAAAUAAAGAUUUUGAUUGAUCCGAAAGCGUGCUAGGUUCUGCACUAAGGCGUAUUCCCGUCCUUACGUGCGGGAUUAAUCGGGAAUAACACCCCAAGGUACGACCGGAAUUUCUCCUCCUGCGAGCACGAUCGUGAAGAAGGUUGACGGUGACUCUUUUAACACCCGGUGAUAAGUAGAUCAAGAGAAAUAGAAUAGAAUUGAAAUUAAAAAUGAAAUACAAUGCUUUUCUUCUACCGUGUUCUACCACGGAUGAACAGUGCAAUUUAUAUAAAGAGAGAGGAGGAUGGAACGUGGGCAAAGUCUACAGCGGAACGUCCGCGACCGUAAGACGCGCGCACUACAACAAAAACGGUCUAUAGCGAUACUUUUAAAUGUAGGUACAUGUCAAAAAAAUACUGCUAACUAAAAUUACCGACACUUUUAAAAAGUGUUGCUAUAUGGGGGGUCGCUAGGUAUAUAGUGACAGUUAAAGAGUGUCGCUAUAACCUAAAAGAGUGCUGCUAAUUUACCAACACUUAUUUAAGCAUUUAGCAACCGCCGAAACUCUAUCUCAUUGGCUGCGGUGGCAGAGGAGGACGACAGGAAAGAAUCUUCGUCUAGAAUUUCAGUGGAUUGAGUGAAGAGAGAAGAAAAGAUGGUAAUUGAUUUUUCUUUUUUUUUCCUUUUCUAUUUGUAAUCGGGCCAAAUGGACUGGGUGUGGUGGGUUGAGUAGAGUAAUCUUUUAUUUUUGGUUGGAUUGGGCUUUAUAUUUAGGCAUUAGUAGAUAUUUUUUUAAGUUUUAGCAUAAAUAGGACACUUACUCAAAAGUGUUCCAAACAUGUGUCCCUAUAACAUAAUUCUGUUGUAGUGGCGUGCGCGUGCAACGCGGAGCCAGCGCGGAGAGAGCACGCGAGCCGUAACGUCCUUAUAAUAAUAAAUAUAAAAAUAAAAAUAAAAUAAUUAAUAAAUUAAAAUAAUAAAAUAAUAAUUAUUAGGAAAUUUUGGAUUUUCACCAACAGGUCCCAAGUGUUUUAUCCGAGAUACUAUUAAUAGGGUGUGCAAUCUCUUAUAUUUUAAUAGUGUUAGUUUUUGUAGGAGUGAGGUUACUAUGCUUCUGAAAGCACGGAACCUUUCGUGCUUCCAGGUCACUUUUGAUGUUGCGACUUUCGAAUCGUCGAUCGGCUCUGUUAAACUUGAUUUAGAGUAUUUGAAGUACCUAGAAAAUAAAUUUUGCAAUUUUUCGAUAUCAUUUGCCUAGUGAACUAAGGGGCUCAUAAUUAACGGCUGAAAAUAAAAAUCUUACAAAACGUGAUAAUAUGAUAUUAAAAUUUUAGAUCAAAGAUAUUGAUCUUGUUUUAUAUAGUAUAAAGAAUUUUCUAUCAAAAUUUCACGUGAUUUGGAUAUUUCUACACCGUUAAACUUGCAAACGGCUCACAACGGCCAUUAAAAUUAUUGAUUUUGAGUCCCUUCGAUCACUAGGUAAAUGAUAUCGAAAAAUUAUAAAAUUUAUUUUCUAAGUACUUCAAAUAUUCUAGAUCAAGUUUAACGGAGCCGAUCGACGAUUCAAAAGUCGCAAUAUCAAAAACGACAUGAAAGCACGAAAGGCUCCGUACUUUUAGAAGCAUAGUAGCCUCACUCGUUUUUGUAGUUACCUAAAACAAUAGAUUCAUGGCAUAGUAACGACACUCAGGAUAAAAUGCGUAUCUAGUACUGUUACGCGGAGCUAGUGAUUAAUUUGGGUGCGAGAAUGAUUGCAUUAGGAGUUAUUUUUAUAAACAUGCAUCUAAUGCACCACUUUCAAUAUUUGAUGAAUAAUUUUUUUUUAAUUAAAGACAAAGUUUACAGAAUUAAUUAAACUCUGAUUUUGAUGCACUUGCAUUUAAAUUUGUAGUGUUCCAGAGGUUUGGAUAGGAUUGGCUACUGUAUUAGUGACUGGUCGACACAUUUGGAAAGUGUCGGACUGAGUCGGAAUUGUUUCUGCACGAAAUGGAUGCAGAAAUGGACUCGACGCACUCGAAUAAGCAAAACUGAAGUUUUGCCAGAUUCUGGCGCUCAGAACAGGAUUUGGGUCGCCCAGAAUUUGAGUGCAGAAUUGAGCAAAACUGGAAACCAAUUCGGAUCCUAAUUUCGGGUGCCCAGAAGUGGGUCCGAAAAUUCACCUCGUGAAUAUCGUUUGAGCUGACACGUGUUUGUGGUAGAUGAGAUCCACCGGACUAGAUUUAGGGCACAGCACACCGCAGGCGGAGGAGUCGAAGUGGGAGCUUUAUAUGGCCUGGAGGUUUCGGACGCCCAAAAUGUUGUUUCGGGCGUCCGAAAGUGCUCGUUUCUGUAGGUGUAGCAGGUUUGUAGUGUUUGUUCAUGGGGCUUACUUUAUCCUUCCAGCACACUAUAAAUAGCUGGAGUUCGUCCCCAGUGAACUAUUUUCAUCCUCUCUUCACAGUGAAGACCAAAUUAGCAUUUCAACCCCUCAAAUUACUCCAAAUUUUUCAAUUUCCACCAUUUCCUCCUUGAAGACUGCAGUUCCAGUAGAAUUCCAACAGCGACCUUCAGCGUUUUGACUCGUGUGCGACGUAGGAAGGUCGGAUUGCUGUGAAACUUGGUUUGGUGGAUUCUAGACUUCAAGAGAAAUUCGUGGAGCCCAUUUUGAUAGAAUUUGAUUCAGGUUAGUAUAGUCAAAUUGCUAUUCUUCUGGACUGCUGCAGUAUUGAAGCUGAAUUUUGAGUUUUGUGGGUUUUCUUGAUGCAAUUUUUGGAGGAAGCUAAGUUUUGGACCAGAGGGUGAUGCUCCAUCUCAGUUCACAGGAUUUGGGACCUUUUCUCACCUGAUUUGAAAAUUGGAAGGUAAAGUUGACAUUGUGAAUGAGGUGAAUUAAGCUUAGAUGCUGAAUUUUGAAGUAUUGAUGGAAUUGGUGGUGUUUCAUGUUCAGAUCUUUGGAGAGGAGUGUGCUGAUUGUGACCGAGCUUAGCAGGGUUUUCCGGCGACCUCUCGCUGCCGUAGACUGAGUGCUAGAGGUGGGUUAAUCAUCGGAUUCUCCUCCUAAGGGCCCGUUUGGUUCGAGUUAUGUAAUAUUACAAAGUAUCUCGACAUAUCCAGGUAUCUUGGAUUUCGGCGUAAGAUUACUACUGAUGCCGCAUUAGCGCGUUUGGUUUAAUGCAGUAAUGUAAUACUAGAUUACACUGUUUAUAGCAUUAAUACGUUUGGUUCAGUUUUUAAAAUUUAGUAAUCUUGACAUAAAAGUAUAGUUUUUUUCAAAAUUGUCCUUGUUGUGGUCAUUUGAAUAUUAUUUUUUGCGGAAAUGACAAAUGGAGGGAAGGAGAUCAUGAUGAUUACCUGGGAGGACGACGCAAUAGAAGAUGAUAGGUGUUCGUACGCGUGCGCGAGAGAGAGAGAGAGAGAGAGAUAGAGAGAAAGAGAGAGCGAGAGACGUUGAGAGAGAGAGAGAGCGAGAGACGUUGAGAGAGAGAGAGCGAGAGAAAGCGGCGUGCGAGAGAGAGGGGGGAAGGCGAGAGAGAGAGAUGAAAAUAAUACUGUUAAUUAGAUUUGGGGUUGUUGGAGGGUAAAAUUGUCAUUUUACAUAAUAUGUAGUAUUAACGGGUUUUAGUAAUGCAAGAUACACGACCCCCCUCCCGUUAAUAUUUUCGAUGUAAUCCUGCUCGAUUUGUAAUGCUACAUUAACGACUAGAUUACAUAGCGGAUUAACCAAACACAGUUAUCCUGGCAGGAUUGCCUGUAAUCCUGCCAGGAUAACUCGAACCAAACGCACCCUAAGUGUAUGAAUAGUCAACAUGUAUAUUUUCAACCUUUGUAUAUCAUAUUUUUAGCUCGAAUUCAUCGAUUAGCAUGUUAAACAAAAUAUGAAUUUGGAGCAUGCUGUAGUGAGUUAGAUAAAUUAUAAAUAUUGGACUUUGAAUUGACUUAGCAGAAAACCGGCGAUUCUAUACUGUCAUAUGUUAAAACUACUAGAUCUAGCUCCAGAAGCCGUAGUUUUUUUGUAUCGCCGCAGUUGGUGGGCAGUUGAUACCCAGAAUAGUAUAGAAUGUUUUUACGCUCGUACCGAGAUGCCGAGCUUAUAUUUACAGCAGUGUUUUAGGCUGUGUCGGAUUGUCGGAUGCCGUUGUGGUUGACGGUGGACCCAGAUAACGGUUUUUGUAUCAGAUUGUGCCGAGGGCACGUGAGUUGGAUUCUUAGACCCUAUUACUUGACUAUAGCUUGUGAGAGCCUGAUUGAGUUCGACAGAGAUACGCUUGCAUACUCGGUUGGGUAGCGCCUACGAGUACCACUCCGGAGUCGGGCUUUGUGCGUUUGCGUUGGUGUCGUUGUGUCCUAGUUGGACUUGCUCUUCACAGACGGCUUAGCAUGGAGGUAGCUGUAUAGCUUCGACAGGCGGGACGGGUGUCUUCACAGUCCCUAGUGAAAUUGGGUCAGAGAUUGCAUUAUUCUACAGAUAGUUAGUUUUGGAUCAUGAUAGUAGAAUGGCAUAUAGCUGUAGAUUGUUUCCAGUUUCUUUACUAUUAUUUGUGCAUACUUUCUGUAGACUUGGUGGAUGAACCGAUGAGUUUGAGGGUGGUACCCACUGAGGAUUACUUCUUUUACAGUAGUUCUCACGCCCAGUUGUUGCCCCUCUGUUUGCAGAGCCUUCUUCUUCGGCUGCUGCUAUUGCGGAUAUCGAUCGUGGAAAGGGAGUCGCAAGCUAGAUCCCUUCCCGUUUUGCUGCUGAUUUAGAGAUAUAUCGGUUACAGGUAGUUGUAGUUUUUUGUUCUUGUACAUACUGCUGUUAGAUCCUCGCUGGAGCGAGUAUUUUUGUACUAGGAUGCGAUGUAUGUAUAGUGAACCAGUUUUACUUAUAUAUUAUUUUUUUUAGCAGCCCUAUACUACUAGUUGUAGUGUUGUAUGAUUACAGUUAUAGGUACAGCGAUCGCUUCGUAUAUGGAAAAAAAUUUUAUGUAUACGGCGAGUCCGUUGGCGUGCCCGGGGAAACGAGUAAUCCGGGGCGUGACAAUAUUAGAAGGUUUUAGCGGUUCAUGUGGUGGUGCGCAACAGGUGCACACAAAUUUAGAUAUUUUAGAUUAUACCUACUUAAUUAGAAUUUAAUUUUAAGAUAUAAAUUGUUAUGUGCAAAAGGUGUCGUUAUAAACAUAGGGACUAAGUGCAUAAUGCACAAAAUUAUUACAAUUUUUUUUAAAAAAAAUAUUCUUACAUUGUAUUUUUUUGUAUAGUAAUUUAUACAUAAUUAAUAUAUUUUUUUAUGAAUAUUAAAAAAUAAUUAUAUUAUUCCUCAAGUUGUUUAAACUAUAAAACAUUAUGGUUCUUGACAUUAUUUCUAUCUUGACUUAACUAUUUAAUUUCCUACCAAUUGGAAAGGAAGAUGCACAAAACUUUGAGAUAAAUUAAAGUCACAGUGAAAAUUGGAAUAUAAAAAUUUAAGUAAAUAUUGUAGUAGCUUAAAUUAUUGAUAGAAUAAUCAUUCUUAUACAUGAAAUGUCUAAGAUGCUUCACAAAAAAAAUUAAGUGUGCUAAAAGAUUAGCAAGCAUAUUUGAGACUUCAUACAUAAACCCAACCAAAAGCCUUGUUAUUAUAUAUAUAUACUUCAAAGUAUAGAAAUAGACAAAUAUAGCAUAUAUAAAUUAGAUAUAUAGCAUUUUGAAGGAUCUAUAACACGAGGGAAUCAUUUGCUUGAAUGUAAUUGUAGUGCAGUUGAAGAUGCAUACAAUUAAAAAUGCAGCAGUUAUACUUACAUGCAUCUUAUCUUUAAUUAGAUGUUGUACGUAAAAAGCGCUACAGCUAUAAAUAAUUUAUUUGAUUGUAUGAGGUUGAGAAGUAGCUACAUUUGUAAAAUUUUAUCACUUUAUGUAUAAGAUAGUGAUUUUACUAUUUAAUCAACAAAUGUAAUAAAUUUAAAACAUAAAGAAUCACAUACUUCAGAGUAAAAUCACGUGUAAAAACUUAGAUCAUGCUACCGACCGUCUCUAAAGCAAGUGGCAAAGGGCUUGGUGGUUAGUACCCGAGACCCAAGUUCGAAUACUAGUUGAUUCACAUUUCCAGCUAAGUUUAUUUCUAAAUGAAAUAAACAAAACGGGUAGCGUGCUACCUAUCUCUCAAAAAAAAAAAAAAAAAAAAAAACUUAGAUCAUGCUAUUUCAUAGCAUUUUAGGGUUUAGAGUUUAGGAUUGUAGGGUUAGAGUUCUGGUUUUUAGGGUUUUAAGUUUUUAGAAUUAUAUAUUUAGGAUCCUAUUUGCCUCUAUUUCAUAGCAUCCUUCAACUUUUUUUUAUUUAUACCCAUUUAACUUUCAAAUUUUUUUAUUUCAAUUUUUCUGGUUAUUUAGCUUUUUUUUAGAAAAAUCACUCACUGCAAUAGCUAUUAGUUGUUCAUAGCUCUAACUCUAUUUUCUAAAAUAUGCUUAAAAUAUUAUAUUCAACAAAACCACUAAUAAAUUUGAUAAAAUUUUAAAAUUUACUUGAUAAAAAUGACUCCAGUACCCGUACAAAAAAUAUUAAUUAAAAGUUGAAGGAUGUGCGAAUUAAAACAAAAAAAAAAGGAGUAAAUUAAGUUGAGAUAGGUGAGUAUCUAAAUAACAUGCAUAUAUAGUUAAGAUCAAAUUUGUCAUUCUAUAAUUUAACUUAUAUUAAACUAGCCUCGAACCAGGGUUAAUUAUCGCCAAAUAUCGUCAAACACUACAACAAAAACGGUCUGUAGCGACACUUUUAAAUAUAGGUACAUGUCAAAAAAGUGCUGCUAGCUAAAAUUACCGACACUUUUAAAAAGUGUUGCUAUAUGUGGAGUUGCUAGGUAUAUAGUGACAGUUAAAGAGUGUCGCUAUAACCUAAAAGAGUGUUGCUAAUUUACCAACACUUAUUUAAGCAUUUAGCAACCGCCGAAACUCUAUCUCGUUGACUGCGGUGGCGGAGGAGGACGACAGGAAAGGCUCUUCGUCUAGAAUUUCAGUGGAUUGAGUGAAGAGAGAAGAAAAGAUGGUAAUUGAUUUUUUUUUUUUUUCUGAUUGUAAUCGGGUCAAAUGGACUGGGUGUGGUAGGUUGAGUAUAGUAACAUCAUAUUUUUUGUUGGAUUCGGCUUUAUAUUUAGGCAUUAGUAGAUGUAUUUUAAAAUUUUGACAUAAAUGGGACACUUAGACAAAAGUGUCCCAAACAUGUGUCCCUAUAAUCUAAUUCUGUUGUAGUGUUGGUGUACAUUGUGCAUGGAUGCAUACUUGGAUUUAUAGAAAACGAGAGAAGGGUGGGAGAAAUUUAGAAAGAGAGCUCGGGUUAAAGCAACUCUGUAUAGAAAAGAAGUCAUAUGUAAUUCUUCUUUUGAUUAAUGAAUCUUAUUUCAUCCGCUUUUUCUAUUUAUUUUUUUUCUCUUUUGUGACUGCAAUUUAGGGUAAAAAUUCGAUUUGACGUUUUCGUUGCAGAAUCUCAACAAUCGGUACUGGAUCGAGUAUCGGGUCAACAGCAAUAGUUAUCAAGGCGAGUUGUGGAUUCUCAAAUUUCAGUAUUAGGGCGAGCAUCAAAUUUCCAACAUUUAUAUGCAAAAAAUUAAAAAAUUAGAAACUGUCAUGCAAAAAUACGUGCAAUUAAGGUUAACAAAUAAUGUUAUCUAUUAGAUAGCUGAGCACUAAAGAGAAAAUCUUCAGUCCCCAUUUCUCAGUUGAACUUUCCCAUAUACAGUAAUUCUAACACCGAACAUUAUAAAAAGGGAAAAUUUCAUCACUACCCUUCCAAAUAAGUUUAAUAUCAUGAAUGCCCCUAUAAAAAUUGAAAUAUCAUAAAUAACCUAUUAAAAGAGAGAAACUUUCAAAAUAACCUUUAUACUAAUUUAUUAUCAAUUUUGAAUAAACAACAAACAAAAUUCCAAAUUUGCCCUUAUUGUCAUUACCAUCUUAAAAUAUUUAAUUGACUAUAAAAUCAUUUAUACUUUUAUAAACACUCUUUUAAAUUUAUAAAUAACCUAUAUUUAGAGAUAAGUUUUUUAUCAAUUAAAAAAAUAUAUAUAAUCCUGACAAGUUAAGCUAAAAAAUAAAAAAAUCAAUUGAAAAAAAUUUAGCAAAAAAUUGUUUAAAGUAUUAAUUGACUCCUUAAAUUAAGGUUAAACAAUUUAUUCAAAAUAUAACUUAAAUAUAUAUGCAUGAUGUGAAUUAAGUUAUUUGAACUAGCACAAAUUUCUGUGCUUUGGCAUCUCGAAUUUUAAAAUAAAUGAUAUAAAGUAUUUUAUUUUAUAAACCACACAACAGUAAAAUAAUAUAUUUUACUGUUUAUUUUAAUAUAUUAAAAUAAAUAUAUAAUGCUAAAAUACUUUUGUAAAAAAUUUUAGAAGUUAAGGGCAAAAUGGACAUUUUGACCAUAUUUAUGAUAAUCUAAAUAUUUUAUCAUUCUAUAAAGAGAUGAAUAGUAAGGGUAAGGGUAUAUUUGAAACAUAAUAAGUAUUUAUAGGGGUAAUUGUGAUAGAAUCAAAUUUAUCGGCGCAUCUAUGAUAUUUUUGAAGUUUAGAGGGGCACAAAUGAAAUUGACCCUAAAUAAAUAUACCCAAAACACUUCUGUUACUUAUCUCAACCUAACAUAAAUCCCAAUAAUAUGGCCACCAUAUGACUUAAUACACAUAACAUAAUACACAUAUUGGACAAAUCAUAUAGAUUCGAACAUCCUUGCAUGUGAAAUCCAUUUAUACUGAAGCUACAAAAGGCUAAAAUAAGAGCAACUAAACAUGACAACUCUAGUUUUUUUUUUUUUUUUUUUUUCCCUGUCACCUGGUCUAAAAAGCUGUUUAUUAUUAUUAUUAUUAUUAUUAUUAUUAUUAUUAUUAUUAUUAUUAUUAUCUGUAUCUCAGAUGAUCAUCUGUUAAUGCAUAGGAUUGACCAUUAUUUAUUACUUAAAUUACAAAUGCACUCUUUGUACAGCAGCAAAAAAAAAAAAAACAAAAAAAGAACUUGGGAAAAAUGUACAUCGACUCUCUAAAAUUUAGAUCUUUUGUAAACAUGCAUAUAAUUUUCAACAGGCUCCUCUUCUCAAUCAAAGUUACUAAUUUUAUAGCCGUUUUGAUGACAUAGCAUGAACUUAAUCUCAUAAAAUUUCAAAAUAAAGAAAUAUAUUUUCUCUUCUAAUUUUGAUAAUCAAUUAAGUAUGAGGAUUAAAGAAGAGUGAAUAUAUAAGAUUUCUAUUAUUUUUGUGAGAUCCUUGGUGUUUGACUGUGUAGGCUUGUCGACAGCUCUGGAGAGUGUCGGGACAAGUCUGAGUCGCGUUGACGUCAAAUAGACGUAAAACGGACUCCGUGCGACGUGAGGGCAGCUUAUCGCGAAGAAUUCUGCAAACAGCAGUUUUUUUUCUGCUUACUGUACCGGUACAAGCUUGGUGGCUGUACCGGUACAACCAGCGCGAAACAGCUCAACUGCUCUCGGGUUGGCUCUUGUACCGGUACAGGAUCCCGUGUACCGGUACAAGGGAGUUGGUGGAGGGCUAAAUUAGUAAAAUUCCACCUCGUUCAUGUCACCCACUUUCCCUCUCUCUAUUUACCUGUGGAUUGAGCUGAGAGAGAGAGAGUUUAGGCUUGUUUUCACCAUCUCCUUCCUCUCUCUCUCACUCUAGGCCGGUUGGGUGUACGGUUUGGGGGAUUUCGUCGCCGACGUCGCGCCGCGAGCCGUUCGAGCGCGCUUGUUGCCGGAGCUUUGCGAAGAGGACGGGCGAGGGAGCGUCUUCACUGUUCUUGACGUCGCGCCGAGGUUCGACGCUGUCGAGGUGGGUGAUUCAGCCUUUUUCUGGAUUUUUGCGCUAGUGUUACUACUUCUACUCGGAUUGUGAUUGCUUUGCUGAAAUCCACCGUCGACUGUUUGUAUUUCAGCUCGUUCUCUGUGUAGGAGUGUCGAAACGCGACGAAAUUUGGCGUGCUAGAUUCGCGACUUCGAGACGAAGAUUCUGAGCCCAAGAUCGCGAUUUUUGGAGCAGGUUUGCCCUGUCGAACCCUAGUUUUACUAGGCUGCUGUUUGCCGAGCAGAUUUCUGAGAUGCUGUUCCGCAGGUUCCAGCGUCGACGUUUCGUAUUCUGGCCCGUUCUCUGCGUAGGAGCGUCGGAAUUCAGCGAAACCUGGACCAUUGGAUUCGUGACUCUGAGACGAAGCUUCGGAACCCUUGUUUGCUGAAUUUGGAUAAGGUUAGCUUGGUCGGAUUAAACACUUUCUUCGCUGCUGUUUCUGGGCAGAUUUCGUGAUUUUAAGUGUAAAUGGGUUUACUUCUUCGCGGCAGGAGAACCGGGGACUUCGACGGACCAGCGAGGGAUCAUUUUGGAUCCGGGCCACUUUCUUCGCUGCCAGGAGUUGCUUGAGAGGUGGGUUACAUCGGUUUUGACUCCUAAGUUCAUAAUCGUCGACAUGUAUAGAACUCAAUUUUUGGUAUUCUAUUCUAGCUCGAAUUCAUGGAUUAAUUGAUUGAUUGCAAAUCUGAAUUUGGAGCAUGUGGUAAUAAAUUUAGUAGAUUAUACAUGUUGGACUUGGAAAGUGAAUUAGGAGAAAACCUGCGAUUUGGACCUGUCACCAGAUUUAACUACCUGAUUUAGCUCUAGGGGCCGUUAGAAAAUUGUACUGUCGCAGUUUCUUCGAGACGAGUACUCCAGGUAGUUUAGAAUGUAUUUACACUCGUGCUGGUUCGCCGAGUGGAUUUUUACAGGGUCGUUCAGGUCGUUUCGGACUGUUGGGUGCCGUCAGAGUUGACGGUGGACCCGUAUCGCCUUUUUGGCGUCAGAUUGUGCCGAGGGCACGUUACAUGUUGGUUGAUAGACCAGUUUGAGUCAAUUAUUUGACUUUGGCUAGUUGGAGCCUGAUUUGAGCUCGACAGAGAUACGCUGCAUACUCGGUUGGGUAGCGCCCACGAGUGCCACUCCGGAGUCAGGCUUGUGCUUUUGCGUUGGUGUCGCUCAUGCCAGUUGGACUUGCUCUCCACGGACCAGUUAGUGUGGAUAGAGCCCGAUAGUCGCAACGGGGCAGGGACGGGUGUAUUCACAGUCCCGGGGACGGGUAUGCUUACAGUCCCGAUUGGAUUGGGUCAGAUUUGACAUUUCCUACAGUUGGUUAGUGUAGAGCAUGAUAGUGUAGUGGAUGAUAGCGGUAGAGUAUGCUUCCUGCUUUCCUUCUAUCCUUGCUCCCUUCUGUAGACUUAGUGGGUGACCGAUGUUGUUUUGGGCGGUACCCACUGAGGACUACUUGUUUUUACAGUAGUUCUCACGCCCAGUUGUUACCUAUAUUUUUGCAGAGCCACAGGUUCCGGUUGCUGCACCGUCUGCGGACCAAGAUCGAGGUAAGGGCGUCGCGAGCUAGAGCCCUACCCGACGUGCUGAGCUAGAGGUGCCCUACUGCAGGUAGAUGUUUUGUUUCGAGUUUAUGUACAUAGUUGACUUAACUCGCCAGUGCGAGUAGCUCUGUAUUUUGGAUCUGAACUAUGUAUAUGAAACUCUGUUUUAUUUAGCUUCAGUUUUCUCUAGCAGCUCUCUACUACUGUUCGUAGUAGUGUUUGAUUUACAGGUACAGCUAUCGCUUCGUAUACAGGAAAAAUUUCUUGUAUACGGCGGAUUUGUCGGCGUGCCCGGGGAAUGUGUAAUCCGGGGCGUGACAAUUUUUGUAUACAUUAAUUUUUUUUGUUUGUAUUUUAAAGCUUUAUAAGAUUAUAUAUAAGACAUAAAAUCAAAAUUAAUGACUGUCUAAUUUAUAAUUCCAGUUGGAAAAAAAGACCCAUUCAAUGACUUUUUAGGUAAGCAUACAUAAAACUUACGUCAAUUAUCGCCCUUUUUGGAUUUGCCCAAUUUUAAAAAUUUUAAUUUUACUAUCUUAUUUUUUAAUUUAUUUGAUAUGAGCAAAUUGAUAACUUUUUAACUUCAAAAUUUGAAUGCGCUAUUUAUCUUAUACGAAUUUUAUUAAAAUAAGUAUAACUAGCUUAACUUUUACAUCGGGAGAGCCAUCAGAUUACUUAAAUCCAACAAAUUAAAAGAUUUGGUACUACAAUUAAAAUUUUAAAAGGUUUGGUAGCCUAAUCAAAAGAUUUCUAUAUUUCUACCUAAAGUUUAAAAAAGGAAAAACUUCAAAUAUCACCCCUGUGGUUUCACACUUUCUCAUUUUAGUACCAUGUGGUUUAAAGUGUAUUAAUUUAGUGUCCUGUGGUUUUAUUUUUAUCUUUUUAUUAUUGAUUCCACUAAUUUUUUCGUUAAAUCAAUGACAAAAUUAAAAUUAAAGGGUACUAAAAUGAAUAUUUGAUAAACCUAGGUGGGGUAUUUGAAGUUUUUUGUAUAUAAUUUAACGAAAUAUUAACGAAAAAAUUGAUGAAAAGAUAAAAAUGAAACCACAGGACACUAACUUGAUACACUUUAAAUUAUAGGGUACUAAAGUGAGAAAGUGCGAAAUCACAGGGGUGGUAUUUGAAAAUUUUUCUUUAAAAAAUCUAACUAUUAAAAUGGGGCGCUUUGGUGGCUGUUUGCAAAACAGCUAUAGUUCAGGGAGUCUCUGUACAUUUUUCCCUGUAUAAAGUGGGGCUGAUUUGAAAUAUAUAGUUCCAUGUGUGUUGAUAUGACAUGAGAUCUGAUCACCAUUUUGCUUUACUUUUUCCUUUUUAAUUUAUAUUUUUUGCUUAGAAAAUUUUUGCAUUACACUGUUUAAUUCAUGGAGUACAAAAAUAUACUAAAGAGCCGUUUAUUUGCAUACAGUUAUAACUGCACCACAGUUAUAAUUAGAUAUAAUUUUAAAUCUUAAGCUUGUUUGGGCGCAGUUGAUUUCAAUUUAUGCAGUUGGAACUGCAUGACGAGAACCAACUACUGCAUCGGAGAGGAAUUCGCUCACCUCUUUAUCUAAAAAAUGACAGAAUUCAUAAAUUCACUUAUCAACUGUAGGCUAGUAAACAUAAAAAAUAUAACUGCAGCUGUUGCAGUUGCGUAAAACUAAUUAAUAGACUCGUUGUACUUGUAAUUAUUGCUGCACUUUCAACUGCAUGCAUUUUUAACUACAUUAGUUUUGUAACUAUCCAAUCGACAAAUCAAUAAUUGGUAAAGAAAAAUAAUAGGUUUUUUUGGUCCUUUUUCUGUUCUUUUAUUGCUAGGAAAGAAUGCAUAGAAAUAUAUGAGUUGAGCUAGAAUACUCUCAAAAGCACCAAGAGGGUGGUGCUUUUGAGUUUUUACCCUUUGGAUGGAGAGAUGUAGGGUUGGGAUGAUGGUGGUAGCUGAUGGUAGAUGGAAUAGUGUUUGAUCCAAAGACUAUUAGUAAUCAAGGGAUAGAUCCAAGGGUUAGAAACGUAGAAGCACCAAUGAGUUGGUGCUUCUAAAAGUAUUCUAGCUCAAUUACAUAUAUAUAUAUAUAUAUAUAUAUAAUAAGAGUGGGCUGAUAUGUUUAUGGAAGCAUGGAGCCCUCGUACUUCCAAGUUAUUUUCGAUGUUCGCUUUCAAAUCGACGAUCGCUUCGUUAGAGUUGAUCUAGAGUAUUUGAAGUACCUAGAAAAUAAAUUUUGUGAUUUUUCGAUAUCAUUUGCCUAGUGAUCGAAGGUUUCAAAAUCGAUAAAUUUUAAUGGCCGUGGUGAGCCGGUUGCAAGUUAUACGUGUAGAAAUAUCCAAAUCACAAGAAAUUUGAUAGAAAAUUCUUUAUACCAUAUAAAACAAGAUCAAUAACUUUGAUCUAAAAUUUUAAUGUCAUAUCAUCAUAUUUUGUAAGAUUUUAUUUUCAGGCCGUUGAUUUUGAGCCACUUCGAUCAUAGGCAAAUGAUAUCGAAAAUUGCAAAAUUUAUUUUCUAGAUACUUCAAAUACUCUAGAUCAAGUUUAACGGUGUCGAUCGUGAUUUCGAAAGUCCGAACAUCGAAAACAAAGUGGAAGCACGGAGCCUUCCGUGCUUUCAUAAGCAUCCUAGCCGCUAUAAUAUAUAUAUAUAAUAUAGAGUAGGGCUACUAUACUAUUAUGAGUAUUGAGCCCUUCGUACUCAUAAGUUGUUUUCGAUGAUGGAGCUUCUGAAUCGACGAUCCACUCCGUUAAAUAUGAUUUAGAGUAUUUGAAACUUUUAGGUAUCGUUUGGUUCGAGGAUAAGCAAAAGUGGCUAUUCCAGGGAUAGGUAUAAAUUGAGGUAUAAGCGGGAUUAGAUUAAAUUUUACGUUUGGAUGAAAAUUGGGUUAUUUCUGAAAAUAAAAAAUAGCGUUUGGUUAGGUAAGAUGGAAUUAGAAGGAUAGUGGGUUUUAUAAAUAAAAAAUAAUGAUAUUAUCCUCUAUUAUAUUUGAAUUUGAAUUUUAAAAUUUUAAAUUUAUAUUUUUAAAUUUAAAAUUUUAACUUUGAAAUUUUAAAAUUUGAAAUUUAAAAUCUCAAAUUUUAAAUUCAAAAUUUUAAAUUUUAAAAUUCAAAUUUAAAUUUAAGAUCAAAUUUAAAUUUGAAAAAUAAAAAUAAAAAUUUUAAAUUUCAAAAAUUAAAAUUAUCAAAUUUAAAAUUUAAAAUUUAAAUUAUAACUUUAAUUUUGAGAUUAUAAAUUAUAAAUUAUAAAUUUUAAAAAUUUAAAUUUUUAAUUUUUUAAAAUUUAAAAUACAGAUAAGGUGGGAACAAUUAAUAAAAAUAAUUUAUUAUAAUAAAUUUAUAAAUUUUUUUAAAAUUCUACUUAAACUUAAAUUUAAUAAAAAGAAUUUAUUAUAAUUUUUAAAUAUAAUUUAUUAAAAAUUUUAUUAUAAUAUUUAAAUAUAAAUAAUAUGUAUUAAUAUAGUACAAUUAAUAAUUUUAUAAUAAAAAUAAUGUAUUAUAAUAUAUGACAUAUUAUAUUUAUUUAAUUUAGUUUUAAUUCAAUUUAUAAUUUUAAUUAAGUUUGAAAUUAAGCAUUGGAAUAACACUAUUCCACCAAAACGGUGGAAUAGCAAAUUCCUUGCUAUUCCGGGAUAAUCAGGAAUAGCAAUGUUUGACCGGGAUAAAAUAUUCCGGCUAAAUUUCACCCCGUUUGGCGGAAUAGCGGGGAUAACUUUCGUUAUCCCUGCUUAUCCCUCGAACCAAACGGGGCCUUAGAAAAUAAAUUUUGUAAUUUUUUGAAAUUAUAAUAAAGCCCAUCAAGCAGGCAUAAAAUGAACGGUCAAAAUCGAACGAUGUCUUAAAAAUAGAUGAUCGGAUCCUUCAAUUAAGAUUAGAGUUAUUGAUCUUUAUCUAGGUAGUGAAUAGAAUUAUUUAUCAAAAAUUCAACCUAUUCGGAUUCUUUUACACCGUUAAACUAGCAAGUAUUCCAUACCGGCCGUUAAAAAUUGUCAAUUUUGUGAGCUUUGAUCGUAAGGUAAAUGAUGUCGAGAAAUUAUAAAUUUGAUUUCUAGAUGUUUCAAAUGCUCUAGAUAACGUUUAACGAUGUGGAUCGUCGAUUCGGAAGCUCUAUCAUCGAAAAUGACUUAUGAGUACGAGGGCGAUCGUACUUAUAAGAGUAUAGUAGCCGAACUUUCUCUCUCUCUCUCUCUCUUUAUAUAUAUAUAUAUAUAUAUAUAUAUAUAUAUAUAUAUAUAUAGGUCUCAAAAUUGACAAACUUUAACGGUCGGUAUGAAAUACUUCCUAAUUUAAUGGUGUAAAAGAAUUAAAAUCAAUUGAAUUUUUGAUAGAAAAUUCUAUUUACAAUCUCGAUAAAAAUCAAUAACUCCGAUCUCAAAUUAAAGGAUCCGAUUAUCCAUAUUUAGGACGUCGUUCGAUUUUGACUGUUCAUUUUUAUGCCCGCUUGAUGGACUUUAUUAUGAUUUCGAAAAAUUACUAAAUUUAUCUUUUAGAAAUUUCAAAUACUAUAGAUCAUAUUUAAUAAAAUGAAUUGUCGAUUUGGAAGCUCCAUCAUCGAAAACGAACUUUAUACUCAUAAGAGUUUAGUAGCCCUACUCUAUAUAUAUGUAUAUUGGAACAAAAACUUUAUGAACAGCUUCUCGUAUAGUCAUGUUUGGUAAAAUCCGUAAUAUUAUUAUUAUUAUUAUUUUUUGAGAGAUAGGUAGCACGUUAUCCGUUUCGUUUAUUUCAUUUAGAAAUAAACUUAGCUGGAAAUGUGAAUCAACCAGGAUUCGAAUUUGGAUCUCGGGUACCAACCACCAAGCCUUUUGCUACUUGCUCUAGGGACGGUCGGUAAUCCGUAAUAUUGUUGGAACAAAAAAUUUAUGUGGUCUUUCAAAAUAUGUUUUCAAUAUGUUCUUUAAGAGUUAAUAAAAGUUUAUUUGGAUUUUAAAAUUGCAGUAAUAUUUUUUAAAAUUUUCUCUUUUCGCAUGAUCUCCUACUAGAGAACUUAAUUGCCAUUUAUUUCAAACAAUACUUUAACCUAAACAUCCAAUCAAUUCAAAAAGAAAAUAUUAUUAUUAUUAUUAUUCUUUAAUGAGAAAAAUAAAAUACUAUUCAUUUCAUUUAUUUUUUAAAAAUAAACUAAAUUAAAAAUAUAAAAUAACUAAAAUUUGAAUUCAAAAAAUCAAAUACCAACCAUUAAAACUUUAACCGAUUGCACUCGAUACGAUCGGUAAUUUAAAAAAAAUAUUAAAUAAAUUAAUUAUUUGGUAUCAUAUUAUUUAUGUUCCUAAACAACCAAAUUUAUUUCUAAAUUCACCCCUCUCAUUAUAUAUAUAUAUACACUUUAAAAAUUAUUAUAUUUGGUAUGAUGGGGAAAAGUACUUUUUUGGAAUUUUAUUUUAAAAAAAGGAAUAGGAAGGGUAAGAUGAUGGGGGAAAUACUUUUUUGGAAUUUUAUUUUACAAAAAAGGAAAAAAAAACAAAUAAAAAGUCAAAAACAAAAUGCCUUAGUUAGGGGAAAAUAAAACAAUAUGCUUGUGGGAUUUGAUGAAUAAAAGUAUUUGGGGAUCCCCUUAACUAUAAUUUUUUUUUUAAAAAAAAAUUUAUUUUGGCUAGGUAUUAGCUGUCACUUAUUUUAAUUUGAGUUAUUUCUAAAUCGAAUAUGAAGUAAAAAUUAAUCUAAGAGUCAAAAAAUUAAUAAUAAAUACAAUUAUCAUAUUAUUAUCAAUAGCAUUUUAGUUCCACUAUAUAUAUAUAUAUAUAUGAAUUAUAUUUUAUUAGAAUAAUUUUAUAGAUGAUAUGAUGUUAGUUAGAAUUAAUAACUCACACCCUAUCAAGUCAAUUUUUUUAAAAAUAAUCAUAAUUAAUGGUACUAAAAAUUGAUAAUUUUAACAGUUAAAAUUAACUUAAUUAGUAUUAAAUUCAGCAAAAUCUCUAAUUUAUUUUGUGAAAAAAAUUUAGCACUAACAAACCAAAAUUUGAUAAAGUAAUAAUUGAAAUAAAAUAGUACAAAAAAAAAACUUGGAAAUGGCUAAUAAUUGGGUAAAAAUUAUAAAAAAAAUAAAAAAACUGCCCCCUUUUUUUUUUUUUAGAGAAAAAUUAUAUUUUGAGGAUGAGAGAGAAAAUCCCAUUCAUCACAACUUGUCAUAUCUCUUCCCCCAACUCUCUCUCUCUCUCUCUUGUUUCUCUCUCUAAAAUCCUCUCAAAAAGUGGGGGAGGCAAAGGUUACCCCAAAAAGAUCACAAAAGUAGGAAAUGGGCUCUUCUUCUUCUCCAUUAGGGCUUCUUAUGCGGCCCCCAAACCCUACAGUUUCUCUCUCCUCCUCCUCCUCCUCCUCCUCCACCUUGGGGGCCCCGAGCACCUCCCAAAACCCUAGCUUUUCGUGCUCUUCCCCCAAUUCCCCCUCUAAUGGGAGAUGGGUCGGAGCCAAAAUCGCACCUUGGGGCCAAACCGCCCUCAAUUCUAAUCAUUGGGUAUAUCCUCUUUCUCUCUCUAGCUUGGUAAAAUAAGACUUUUUUUUUUUUUUUCUUUUUCAUUGUUUUUAACUGUGAUUUUAAAUGAUGCUGUGAUGUAUGUGUUAUUCUUCGUUCAUGCUCUCUUGCAAUUAUAUGUCAUAAAUUGAUUUUAGGAAUUUUUUCGUGGGUUUGAUCAUGAAGCUAUCUUGUGUGUUGGGUUCUCUUAGUGAAUUGGCUAAAACUCAAAAUCAACUUUAUGUAUGUACUUAUUCGUAUUCGGUUUGUAAAUAUGAUGAAAAAGAUGCGAGAAGUAUGAUUUAAAGCUUUUAGCUUGAAUAAUAAUGUACUAGGUUUUGUGCUUCUGAGAGGAUUUAUCAGGAUUAAUCUGAAAAGAUUUCAAACAUUGGUAAGAACUUCUCGACGAAUUUUGUAUGAGUGUUUUGCUUUACAUGGAUUCAGUAUGCUAAUGCUCAUGCAUUUGCUUAGUGCGAAUAUUUUCUGAAAAUCAUUAACUUAACAGAGUUAAAUAUACAGCGUAAUCCCUGCUAUUCGGAUUCCUGAACACUUUUUGAUAGUAGUAGAUUUGCUUGAGAAAAGAACUGUUCGUGAGCAUGUUGUUGAAUCUUUAGAUGUUCUCGUGGAAAUAUAUCUUAGUGAUUAGUAUCGAUUAACAGAAAAGUAGUCUUUUCAAUUAAUGGCAAUCACAUGGCUUGGCUCAACCAUUUUAGUCGUCAUCGAAUUAUCAUCUGUCACAUGAUUUUUUUUCCCCAAAUGCUGUCAUAAAUAGUUAGUACUUGCUACUCGGGAGAAACUGCGCAGAUGCUUAUAUCCCUCUGUCCCUCUGUGCUGUAUCAGCAUCAGACUAGAAAAUUCUACUUACGCUCAUACGAUGAAUUUCAUAGUUUCUGUAAUGAAAAGUUAUAGCACUUCAGUAUAUCAAUGAAUACUAAAUAUACGGCCCUUCUAUUUCCAAUUCCGCUUGAUAUUGCCCCUGGCCUGGUGAUUUAGGCUAAGAAGAUUAAUUUAUCAAUUAUGGAAUUCAUUGUUGUUCGUUUAUAUGGUCCUUAUAAUCUGAAUUUGUUUACUCGUUUAGAAAUUAUACCUGCUAACCCAUACGAGUUUUGUGAUAUAUUUGGUUUUCACUAAUGAUUUACUACCAGGGGCUGUUUUUUUUAUGUGCUCGUAUAGUGGCUUCGUGGAUGUAUGAGAAGAGGCAGGGCUGAAAUUAUUGCGAGGAAUCAAAGUGCAGGUGGUGCAUUUAUGUUCGGACCUGACGAGGAGAAUGGCACGCAAGUUCCUACUCAGGCUCAGUCGGUUGUCGAAGGUUCAGGCGCCGUCCUUGUAUCAGAGUACAAACCAAUUCCUGAUAUAGAUUAUCUUCAGGUAUUUGUUCAUUGAAAAUCUAUUAAAAACUGUUGUCCAUGUCGUUUAAUUGUAGGGUCUCUUGCAUAUGUAUCGUUGCAUCAUCUAUUUACGUAUAUACCAGAGUAAAAAUCUGAGUUUCAUAUACGCAGCUUGGAAGGGCAAUAUCUUAUAGAGUUUUCCUUAGGUUUCAAAAGUUGAUGUUGCAUUAGGAAAGUAAAGAAGCACAAUUUUCUUUUUUUUUGCCCCCUCUUCAAGUACAGGGGAUUUUUAUAUAAUAAAUUAAGUAUUCAAUGGGCAUUUUGAAGACUUAGAUAUUUGCAGGUAUUUACAUGGAAAAAUAUAUUUUUUCAGGUGUAUGUACAGUUGUAUUUCCUGUCCAUAAACAAUUGAUACUCGCCGAGCAAGGAUGUUAUUAUAGUCUUGUAGAAUAUAAAAAUCCCUCAUUGUUGUGAAAUUUUCUCCAUUAUUUAGGAGCUGAUUUUUCGGAGUCCCCCAUUAUUGUAAUUAUUAACAAUUCAUAUUUGUUUCAGGGAUAAAAGAGAGAGAGCAUGAUUUGAUAAUUUUAUUCCUACACAAUAACUUUUCUGUUUAAUGUUUAGCGACUGUUUAGUACUGAUGCUUUUAGCUAUUGGCGUAGUCUAAUGUUCUAGUGCCAUGCUAGGAAUUACUGGCCAUUCAGCAACAAGGACCUCGAGCAAUUGGCUUUUUUGGGACGAGAAAUAUGGGAUUCAUGCAUCAGCAACUUAUUGAGAUUCUGAGCUACGCUAUGGUCAUAACGGUACUGAAGCAUUUCCCUUUUCCUUUUUUUUCCCUUUUAUUCUCUUUCAUUAACUUUUACUGUUCUGAUCUCCUACUCCUUGCUGUUACUGCAGAAGAAUCAUAUAUUCACAUCAGGAGCAUCAGGUACUAAUGCAGCCGUUAUCAGAGGCGCUUUAAGAGCGGAGAAGCCGGAGCUGCUUACUGUAAUAUUGCCGCAAAGCUUGAAAAAGCAGUCUCCCGAAAGCCAGGAAUUGCUGUCUAAAGUAAGCCUUCCAUGACUUACGUUCCAUGACUUAACAUGAACCACCUCUUUGUUACUGGCAAAAGUUAUGUCGAUUGGCUGUAUUGUUAGGGUGUUUCGAUCGUAAUGGCACUAUCGAUACAUUCGUUUUGGUGUUUUCUUUCGAUACGUCCGUUACAUUUCUUCUUUGUUCUUGUGUAACUUAUUUUCUUAAGUUUAACCCCAUAAUAGUUCAAAUAAUCAGUCAGCGACUUCAUAGAUAGACUCAUUUGGGGUGAGACAUCCCAUAGCAUUCACUUAAUGUUUCGCUCAUCCUCUCAUAUCCGGUUAUAUUGUGACGGAGUGAUUGUUCAUGUUCUUUUGAUGAGACGGUGACGACCCAUUUUCUUUUUUUUUAUGGUCUCAACUAUAUUUUGCAGGUUAAAAAUCUAAUCGAGAAACCCCAAUAUGAUCAUUUGCCGUUAAUUGAGGCUAGCAGGUUCGAUUCUUUGUUUUUUUAGCGCACAAAUUUCGUUCCUUUCCAUUUUCUUUGUUAGUUAUAAAACAACAAUGAAGAAUAAGGCUAAUGGCGGUAUAUAUGAUGAAUCAAGAUAUUCCCAUUUUAUGUUUAAGAAAGGGUCACUCUAAAAUGUUUUUGCAUCUUUCUUGUUGCUGAAACAACAGGUUGUGCAACAUGGACAUAAUCUCGAAGGUGCAGCAGGUCAUAUGCUUUGCGUUUCACGAUAGCAAAUUGCUCAUGGAAACAUGCCAGGAAGCGAAGAAUCUUCGCAAGAUCGUUACUCUUUUUUACUUGGAUUAGCCUUCGAAAACACUCGGGUUUCCAUUCAUUUUUGUUCAUAGCCAAGCAAAUCAGGCUCUUUUACUUCUCUUGCUUCCCCAUUUUGGCCCCAAUUAGAAAAGCCUUCUUGAGCAGAUUAGAGACCGAUUUUAUGCCGCAGAAAAAAGGUGUCGCGAUCUCUCAUUAUUCUGAUUCUUGAAACAACACAUGUCGGAUCCAAUGUUGUUAAUAGCAAAUUGGUUUCUCAUUAUUCUGAUUCUUGAAACAACACAUGUCGGAUCCAAUGUUGUUAAUAGCAAAUUGGUUUUGGUGCAAAAUUUUAUUCGCCGUUGUGGCUUGCGAUGUUGUGUUCGCCUUUUGUUCGCCGGUCUUUUCGAACGAACCUCUUUGGUGCCGUUGGAUUUCACUCUGCGGUGCUCUAAGAUCCGUGCGGAUUAGGAUUGAAAAGUGUCUCCUGAGAUUGUACUGUAGAUAACAUUUUGACCUGCAGUGUGUAUAAAAGAGGAGGCUUUGAAAGAAGAUAUUUGAGAUUUACUAAAUUCAUAGUGUUUUUUUUCUUUUUCUUUGAGUAAAAUUACAUUUACACCUAAUCUCAUUGUUCUUCAGUGUUAUUUAAAGCAUACUCCAAGCUUAAAUAGCAUCCACUGUUAACUCACAGCCCACAAACACAAUGCCUUAAAUACUGAUCUUGUACAGUAAAGAAUUUUAGGCCAAAAUUCUGGAAAAAAAAUAUAGAUUUUUUUUAAAAAAAAAAAAAAAUCCCUUCAUUGCUGGAUUUUUCACGGUUUCCAAGGCGGCGGAGGCGGCGGCGCCGCCGGAUAGAGCGGUGGCACCGCCGAGAAAAUGGUGUUCUUAUCGAUUCCGCCGCCGCCGCUGCUGGUGAGCGAGACCAGGGCCGCCACCAGGCCUGCGUUGCCCGCGAGGGUCGGCUCGGUGCACUGGUAGUUAGUUCGGACGUCGGAGAAGCCAUCGGACUUGUCCGGGCCGGCAACCAUCGCCCCGGUGAUCAAGUUAGGGUUCGCGUUCUUGGAGUUGAGCCACUUCCACCCGCCGGUGCACGAGUACCUGAUCCCGUCAUGGGGGAUCGACGCGCCGCGGUGGUGCACGUGCUUCGGGUAGUUCGACCCGUACCCGACCAGGUAGCUCAUCUUCCGCGGGUUGUUUCCUAGGACGUAGUCGACCUGUCGGGAAAGCGAAAUGAUUAGACCGUCUCACCAUAGAGAUAUAUAGUAUAUAUAUUACUUUCUGAACUGAAAGAACUGAAGGAAUUCGUAAAAAAACCUGAGACUGCGCGAAACUACGGAGGCUGUCGGCGGAGAAGUAGUUGGGGCCGCAGUACCAUCCAGGUACGUUCGUGGCGUCCAUGUAGUCGGCGUAGAGAGACGCCAGGAACGCCAUGUUCAUGGCAUACUGCAGCGGCUGCGGUCGACCGUGGUUUAGUUCGAUUAGUCCGCCUGCAACGUAAUCAGGUAGUCAAAAUCGCGAAAUUGGGUUCCUAGUGCGAACGGAACAGAUCAUCGAUUCAAAUAUGCCAUCGUACCUUGGGUCCAGUUGAACACAUGGAAUUGCUUGAACACCAUGCACAUGGUGAUCCCAGUAGAGUUGUGAUAGCCACUGAGUGUUUCCUCAUAAGGAUACCCAGGAUUCAGGAACAUUCUCAGCCUGGUGAGCAGCAGUUCUGCACCUGGGAGCUUGUUGUCCCAGCUGAAGACAGAGAAGUCCAGAAUCUGCAUGAAGGCCUUGGCGUUCUUCGCGAGGGCCGGAUCGGUCGCCAACGAGAUGUAGCUCGUGUUUCCGGUGGCGUAGUACAUCCACGCGGCGCUCCACAUGUACUCGUCCCAGUACCCGGUUGAAUUGUAGUAGGGCUCGAUGUAGGGGUUCCCCCGCGAGUAGGUCUGGCGGUGCCCCAAGUCGCGCGCAAACUUGUAGGCGGUGGCGGCGCCGUGGACGAGCUUCUUCGAGUAGGCGGCGUCGUCGCUGAAGACGAUGGAGGCGGACGCCAGCGCGGCGGCCACCUCGCCAGCGAGGUCGGGCGCGGAGGAGGCUGUCUGGACGGGCCGCGGGUAGUCCAUGUCCUCGGGCCGCUCCCAGCAGUAGUGGUCGUCUGGGGUUGUCGAGUUGAUCAGCGCGCCGCCGACCUGCGGAGGAUUGCGUCAUGUUAAAACUAUUUCUGAAGCGUUUCCUAUCACAUCAAAUAUUUUGAGUAAUAAAUGGCACGAGUUUUAAUGCCAUUUGAAUUUCAAUGAUUAGGGAUGUGAUUGGAAUCUUGGCCUUUCUUUUCAAGUUGAUUUGAUUUCAAUUUUGCCAAUUAGUUGCAAUUAUGGUAAACUAAAAUUAGUUAUUAUGUAACAGUUAUUAAGCUUUUGUUUUUAAGGUGUCAUUUGGAAAGUACACUAUCAGUAGUAAUAUAAGACUUUUAAACUUGCAACAAGAAUACCGAUCAAUCUGACUAUUAUUUGUAAAUGUUCACAAAUAGCUAAAAGUGCAAAAUAUUUUCGAAACUCAUAUUCCUGUUUACAGGACAAAUACUACCUAUACAUUCAAAAAAAAAAAAAAAAAAUACUACUCUUUAUAAUAUUGAAUGAUCAAUAUUAGAUUUAUAAGUCGCAUUAAAAAAGCUCGGGUCCAGCUCAAAAGUUUAAACUUUUAGAUAUACGAAAUUGUUUUUCAUAACAAUCUAUUGUUUUUUUUGAGAGAUGGAUAGCACGCUACCCGCUUCGUUUAUUUCAUUUAGAAAUAAAUUUAGCUGGAAAUGUGAAUCAACUGGGAUUCGAACUUAGGAUCUCGAGUACCAACUACUAAGCUCUUUGCCACUUACUCUAGGAACGGUCGGUUAAGCACCAGCAAUACAACUAGCAUGUGGCAUAAUUAAUUCUUAACAUGCUAGGCGCGACAGCUGGCACGCGGUUCAUUGGAUCAGACACUAAUUAACUAAGAGGUGUGAACUCUACUGUAAUUUAGCUUUUAGGUGGAGAUAUCAAGUGCAUUAUUUAAAGUCACGAUUCCACUUUGUAUCCAACAUGAGACUAUUUUUCUUAAUAAUUUGUAACACACAAAUCCCUGAAACAUGCUCUGAUAUUAGGUAAAGACGUACAAAACUUAUCUAUAUUAUAGGUAAUUUUGAAACAGCUAUCAAACGCUACUCUGACUUAUCUUCUCAGGAUUAGUUAGUAUGCUUUUAAAAUUUGAAGUUUAGAGUACGGUCGACUGAUUCAAAUCAGACAAAUUGAGAGAUCGAACAGUAAAGCUUAAAAUUUUGAAAGGUCAGGUAAGUUGUGUACAUUUUUUUACGCUGAUUUUACCUGGCUAUAGAUGUGGUUGAUGGUGGAAGCAGAUGAAUUGAAGGUGAGGAGCAGGUAAUCAGUGCCCCACUUGAUCAGGUCCCUUACAUGGUCAUACUCCCCAAUUGCCUUGUACUUCUGGCUAUACUCUACAACUGACCAGCUGAGCAGUGUCAUUGAGAAGGCCAUGGGGAAGUGGAACUUGAUGUUGUCGCCGGCAUCGUAGUACCCGCCGACGAGCCCGCCCUUCACGUCGGUCAGGUCGGACCCGUCCUUCAGGCCUGAGUCCCCCCGCCAGGGGAUCCCGUUGUUUUUCGGGAGCUUCCCGGCUGAGGGAAGCAGAUAGAAGAGAAGUACAGGACAGAAGAAUCAGACACAAGUCAUAAGAAUCUUUCCGAGCGAAAAAAGUAUUUUGAUUUUUUGAAUUUUAGUGGCCAAAUUGACGUGUCGUAAAUGAUUACAAAAGGCCUUAGGACUUAGUUUGUUUCAAAUUAUAAGCUAAAUUUUGAGAUUUUAUAUUCAAACUUAAACCCAAAAUUAGGAAUUUCAAAUGUACUUUAUAUAUAUUUGGUAAAACUGUAUAAAACUUAUCUGCAGGAGUGUUGGUCCUUUUUUUUGAUUCAACUACUUAACCAUUUUAAAAUUUCGAUUUUAGUCCAAAACUUUUGGAUUUAUUUGAUCCAAGCCAUUUGCUCAUUACUUACUUUUACUAAAUUAGUCUUACAAAUUACGUGGCAUGUGCUAAUUUAAUCUGCAAAAAUUAAUAUCGCAUUCAAAUUGUGAAAUGCUAGAGUCAUUUAAUGGUAAAUCAAAAGAUUAAAUAGAAAAAUCAAAACUAUUAAAGAUUAGAUAGUUGAAUCAUAAUAGAUCUUAAUUUAUAUAAAUUCAUACAUUUAUUGCUUUUAUAAUUUUUUAUUCAAAAUGGUAUGAAAUAAAGUAAUUUUUAAAAUAUUACAAACCGCGGAAAAAACCAAAGAGGAAGAAGAAGAAGACGAAGAAGUGCAAGGAAAAGCGCAUUGAGGUGAUUGUUGCUUACACUUCUGCGCGUUGAAGAAGAGCAGCGCUUUGUGGAGCGCGUUCGUGUACUGGUCGGGCGGCGGCGGGGCCACCUUCUUCUUCGGGAUCGACUUCACGACGAUGAUCGGGACCCCGACGACGAUGAAGGCGACGAGCAGGGCCCAGAAGGCCCACCAGAUCAGCUUCCGCUUCACGACGACGCAGCCCAGGUCGACGUACUUGUCCUUCUUCUUGCUCUCCUGCGGGCCCAGGAGCCAGCUCUGCUGCGUCUCGUCGAGCUGCCGCGACAGCGCCGCGCGGUCCAUGUCCAUGUUGCGGCUGUGAUCGUCAUCGGCGUCGCCGCCAUUGUUGUUGAUCUCGAAGGACCCUCCCCAGUGGUUUGCGGAGAACAUGUUGUUGUUGUUGUUGUUGUUGUUGUUGUAAUGUGUAUAUGCUCAGUGCAUGAGCAUAUAUUGGAUGUGUGUGGGGAGGGCCACUUUGUUUCUUUUUAUUUUUUAUUUUUUGGCUUGAUGAAGAGACAAAGGGGAGGUGAUGAUGGGGUUUGUGAUUGGUGAUGUGAUUUUUGGGUACUAAAAUGGAGGAGGCUCUUCUCUCUUGGGGGUUGUUUCCUUGUCAUUUUCCUACCAUUCUUUGGUUGGGGGAGGGGGGAAGGAAAGGAGGGAAUGGUUGACUUGGAUGCUGAGGAAGGAGGAAUUUUUCGGUGAACCCGGUGCGCCAUCUUUUUUUUUUUAUUUGAGAGAUAGGUAGCACGCUAUUCGUUUUGUUUAUUUCAUUUAGGAAUAAACUUAGCUGAAAAUAUGAAUCAAUUAGGAUUCGAACUUGGGAUCUCGGGUACCAAGUAUCAACCACUAAGAUCUUUACAACUUGCUUUAGGGAAUAUUGCUAUUUGUACUUCAGAAUACUGUCUUUAUAGGUUGUUGAUGGAUUGACGUAUGAUGGUUGAUUUACGCAUACAGUAAUUCUGAGAUAUCAUAAAGGAAAAAAACUUUAACUUAGGAACUAUUUGGUAAUUUAGAGUUUUAAUCGUUUGGUUAUACUAUCAUUUACUCAUCUGAUUUUCUAUCAUAGUUACUUGAGCAAUUGUUUAAUUCAACAGAUCGCAUAUUUUGGUACCGUCUUGUUUAUAUUCUCUUCGUUCUAUCCCAUAUGUUUAAUUUGAUUGUUUAACUUGUCGGCAAGAGAACUGCGGCAAGUCCUUCAAAAUAUUACUUGCUCUCCUUAUAGAUUGACCUUGAUUAAUUCAUACAUGCAGUUUGAAAUGCCGUAAAAAAAAAACUAUAAUUUAUAGCUUGUCUUGCAAAUUAGGGCUCCAGUCAUUUGACCCUAUUAUUAUUUUUAAUCGUCUGAUUUUCUGUCAGUACAUAGUUACUAGAGCAAUUGAUUAACAUCAAAUGAUGGAAUUCAACAGAUCUUAUAUUCAAGCAUGCACAAAAUCCUACACUUUACGAAAUUACCAUUAUUUGAACCUAUGAUAUCCGUAGACGGCACAAAACUCGACCAGAUCGAGCUCUGCCUGAUCAGCAAAAUAGAUGAGAUUGACUAGAGAACAGAUGGAUGAUUAGUGUAAAAAUACACAGAUGCGGUGGGUGCACGCAAUAAUUUGAAGUGAAAGAGUAAGGAAAGGGGGGAAGGGUGUGGUUGGGUUUUUCCACAUAGAUGGUGUUGAUCUUUCCCUUUCACUUUGCUUUCUUUUAAUUUCUUCUCUUAUUUUUUAUUAUUAUUAUUAUUAUUAUUAUUAUUAUUAUUUUAUUGCUUUGAGAUUGAUGAGAAGAUGCGACGUUGGGGGAAAGAGCAGGUGGGGGAGGAUUGACUUUGGGAAAAUUUUAAGAUCAUACAUGCUAGACAUGUGUAUGUGGUGGAGGGAUUUUUAUAUUUAUAGAAGAGAGGUGUGACAUUUCCAUUUCAUAUGGUGGAGGCAUCAUGUGAUUGAUGUAAUAGGCAUUAGAAUAAGUCUUUUGGGAUGUUGCACUAGUAUAGAAGCUUCCAUUUUUGUUUAUUACUAUUGUUAUCCUUAUUUUUCAAAUCAAAAUUACAGAAAGAUUGGAUUAUACAUUGCGAAAAGCUGUGGCAAAAAAAAUAUCUUAUUUAUUUUCAUAAGUAAUAAAAUAUUGCGUGGAUCGCACUGGCUUAAAUGUGAUAUAACUUUUAUAAUUUCGCAAAAAAUUGCAAUCGUAUACUGAAUAUAUUCCUGUUUUAAUUUUUUUUUAGCCUAAUAAUCUUAAAUAGCUUUUCUAGCCAGACAAUUUUUUUUUUUUUUUUUUGGGUGUUCAUUGUGGUGACAACCUUGUAUAUACAUUAGGGGCACCAAUUUGGAUGUGCCUAUAUGGGUAGGAAUAGGGAUACAGAUGGAUCUGGGUUGGAAUCUCAAUUUGGAUGUGCCUAUAUGGGUAAGAAUAGGGAUACAGAUGGAUCUGGGUUGUUGGAGAUUCCGUUUCGAUUUACUUUGAUGAAAAGAUAAGAUUAAACAAAAAAUGUAAUUCAUCGUAAAUUCGCCCUGACACGCUAAGAAAUGGAGCAAAAGUGGUGGACCAUUUUUCUCUUUUAAUCUAUCUUGAUUUAUGAAAAUUUUGUUUUCACACCGACUCAUCCGGAAUGGAGCAGUGAGUGGAUGCAAAAUAUUGGAUACAAUGCAACCUCCUCCGGAUCCUCCCUCUUUAGCAUCCCUAGAUAGAAAAGAGCCUAAUUAAAAGGGUGUUUUUUUUUUUGUCUAAAAUAAUUCUAAAAGAUUUUUUUUUUUUAAAAAAAAAAAACUACUUGAAAUAUAAUGGAUGGGAGAUAGGUUACAAAGUCUUCUCCCAAGGGGCCAAAUAAAAAUAAAAGACAUCAUUUUAGAAAGAGAUUCACAAGAAGGUUUUUUACCGAGUUGAGUUCAAUGUCUCCUUCUCGUUCCGCUAUUUCGCUACUCGAUCAGGACUUCUCUCUUCUUUAAUUCUGUUAUGUAUUUCAGACUUCAUCAAUAUAGGAUGUCUGUUUUUGUCUGUCGUCAUCUCUAUAUUUUAUUUUCUGUCAUUAGCUUUAAUAUUUAUGAGCUUGAUUUAUUUGUCGGUUGAUGGUUGAUGUUUAGAUUUGGAGACCGCCAUUAUUUUUUUACUUUACUCUUUUAUCUAAUUUUAGAAAUACCCAUAUUUUUCUUCUUUCUUUACAUGAAAAUGCCCUUAUUUAUUCUUCAAAACUAUAUAAUGUUAUAAUCAGGCUCUACUUCUUUAAUAAAUAAAAUGUCUACAUGUUUUAACCUUAAAAAAAUAAAAAUGUAGCCCAGUGGCCACGCACUAGUCGCGUGUGGCAUGUUGAGUUAUUUGUGAUGCAUACAAAUUAAUCAUACGUAUAUAGUUUUGUUCUAUUAAUUGCAUUGGAUUCGUACUAAGUACUAUUAAUUAGCUAGCAUCUAACACACGUCAAAAAAAAAGUUUUAAGAAUAAUAAUAAUCUAAUAUUCGGUUUAAAAUAAAAUCUUUCAUCUGCAUAUUUAUUGCAUUAAUAAAUAUUUUUACCCGUUAGUUUAAGCUUUCAAAUCAGUUGAAACUCUUAAUAUUUUGGGGCAAUUAUUUAUAUACUCAUAAAAAGUUUCUAAUUUAUCAUUCUUAAAAGGCUAAUAUUAAAAAUAUCUUUUUUUACGUUCCAAUCUAUUUCAAAUAUAUUCCUAAAAUUAAAAUAUAUUUAUAAACUGUUAGCAAUAAUUGGAAUUUCUAUAAAAUUACUAUUUUACCCUUUCAAAUAUACUCUUCUACCAUCACCGACUUUUCAUAUUUGCCUUGAAGUUAGGGGCACAAAAAGUAUUUUAUUUUUUGGUCUUUUCAAAUAUGCUUUUUUACCAACACUAACAUUUCUUAUUUGCCCUUAAAUUAAGCACAAAAGAGGCAUUUUGAUUUUUCUAACUGUGAUUGAUACUUAACUUACGUUUAAUCUAAGUUAACUUAACGAGUGAUAUCUGUAGGAUAUUAAUAACGGAGGAACAUAUGAGGAAUAUAUUAAAAAGAAAAAAAGUAUAAAUAAAUAAGAUAUUUUUUUUAUUUUUUUUUUUUUUUUUUUUUUUUUUUAACAUUACUCUGUCGAUAUAUAUUUUAUAAUCCUUAUUAACUGAGGCUUUUUUUUUUUUUUUUUUUUUUUUUUUUUUUUUUUUUUUGGCUUGCUAAUUUUAUCUUAAUAUAAAAACUGUCAAUAAGUGGCAUCAAUUAUCAUAUAAUUAGACUAAUAUAUAAAUGGAUAACAUCAAUAGUCAAGCACAAGUAGUAUGUAUUUAUAAUUGUAUAUAUAUAUAUAUAUAUAUAUAUAUAUAAUAUAUAUAUAUAUAUAAAUAUAUAUAUAUAUAAAAUAUAUCUUUAAACACUAUUUAUAAUAAAUCAAGUUCUAAUUUUAAUACCAAUCAAAUUUCAAAAUUCUAAGAGUUUUUCUAAUUCAAAUAAACCUAAUUCUACUUAAAAACUUCUAAAUUUGUAUAUCUAAUUUUUAGACAUUUAUUUACUUUAUAUGCAAAUUCUGAAAAUAUAAAAAAAACUUCUAAAUAAAUUAACAAAAUAAUAGUUUUAAAAAUUUUAAAAAAUAAAAUUUUAAAUCCUAACUAAUAUAUUUUUUUUAACCGGAACACCAUUUAACGACCCGUUUAAUUUUAGACCUAAUUUUUUUAAUACAAUACGGAUAGAAAUAUACAAAAAAUUAUGUAAUUAUGUUAUAAUUAAUAUGUACACAUAUUUUAGUUAUAUAAACUAAGAUUUAAUAGUUCUUAGGCUUUUCUUCGGAUUGUAUUUAUAAAUUAUCGGGACUCCUUAAAAUAUUCUGAAUCUCAUAUAAAGAUUAGGAUUAGAAUAUCUAUUAAGCUAUAAUAGAUAUUCACAAAGAGGUACGUUUCUUAACUUUUAUUACCCUCAAUAUCAUUAAUUUUUUCCAACUAGCUUAUCACCCCGUGUGAGGUUAGUUAUGAUAUUUUUUGGAAGCCAUUUGACUACAUUCAAAAGUAGAUUUGAAUGUUAAACAUAAUUUUUAAAAAAUUAACAGGAUUGAAAAAUUAUCUCCAAAACAAGAAGAUCGAAAAUUUUCCUAAACUCGUAAUCAUCUCUCAGUAUCGGUUCAAAAUAUUACAAUCUUAUUAAUUUUUCUAUUAAUUUUGAAAGUUAUCCAAAAAUUAAAACUUAUCCGUUUUAAAAAAACACAUCCCUUUUUUUAAAAAAUAUAUAUAUAUUGAGAAUGGAUCUAUAUAAUAUUAUCACACAGAUUAAAAAAUAAGUACUUAUACUAAAAUUUAAUUUGAAAAAUAUCGACGCUGCACAAAAUACGUUUCUUCACAUGGUCUUAAUUAUUAUAUUAAUUUUGUAGAAUAAAACCUACAACAUCACUAUGAAGAUGUACAUUUGAAAAUAAAUGUUCUACGGAAAUGCCGAACAAAGUAAAACCUGUUUUUCAAAAUUAAAUUUUAUUGAAAAAUACCGAAAAAAAGUAUUUAUGUGCCUAAAAUAAUAUCAUACAAUCAUGCAAUCACAAUAUACUGUACAAGCAUUAAUGUUUCCAUCCACAUAGAAUAAAUGAAACAAACAACACACACAAUGUACACAAGUAUAAAAAAAAUGCAUGCACAGGAACAUAAUUUUUUUUUUUUGUGUUGUUGUAUCCCCCAAUAUGUAUAUAGAAUUGGGCUUGAAUAUUAUUAAUAAUAUUUGGCUUUUUUUGUUAUCAAGUUUUUAAUCUUUAGAUAAAAAAUUAUAGAGUUAGGAUGAUAGUGGUUCCCCAGGAUUUAAUGGUGGUCCCCCUAGAGUUGAGUGGGUGGUUGAUUGAAUUGUAGGAUCUAAAGAGUGGAAUUGAUUAAAGUGUAAUUCUAACGGCUGAAAAAUUGAUAGCAAAAGAGCCAAAAUACUAUUAAUAGUAUUCUAGCUCAUCUCUCUUUCUCUCUCUCCCUCUCUAUAUAUAGUAGAGUUACUAUGCUAUUAGAAGUAGAGAGGAUCUAGUGCUUCCGACAUUUUGGCCCUUAGAUCAGCCCUUUAAUCAUUUUUUAUCUUUAGAUUAAUACUAUUACCUUGUGGGGACCACUCAAUCCUAGGGGGGAUCGCAAUUAUCUCAACUGUACAAUUCUUAAUCCAAGGAGGGUUAAAAAGUCGGAAGUAUCAAAUUCUUUAUACUUUCGAUAGUAUAAUAGCUGAGCCUCACGACAGCUGCGGUCGAGCCCACGUGCCAGCUACGGGGCGGCCGAGCGGGCCGAGCUCCACCACCCGAUGCGGGAGAGCCGGGCCCGAUACGGGCCGGGCCGGGCCAAUAGUUCCGCUGCAGAGCUGGGGCGGUUCUUGGCCAAUUUCAGUCGCAAUUUUUAUUGAAGUAUUACUUAAAUAGAGCUAUUCAAAAUCCUAAAAUUUGCAAUCUUUUUAUAGCUACAUCGGAAGCCAAAACAAAAUUUGUAAAUUGAAACUUCUACUUCUUUAGAGUCACCUCGGAAUAGCAACAAGGAAUAAAAAUAAAAAAUAAAAGAAAAAUCUUCUGCUUCUGCGGCAAUGAGGAUUUUAUAAUUUAUUUCUCAUUUCCCACCAAUAAAAAUGCAAGAAACUACAAAUGAAAUAGCCACAAUUUUUGAUAAUUAUUGUGCAAAGGGAAAAAAGAACAUAAAUACUCAUAAAGAAAUUAAGAAAUUAUGAACUUUAGAAAGGGAUAUAAAGAACCAAAAAUAAAUAUUAGGUAUAUUCACAAUAAAAAAUGAUAUCAUGUGCUGCUAUAUUCAAUUACUUGGGGAAUUAAUGCUCACAUGUGCUGCUUUGUCUUGAUGAUGAGGGAGAAUCAACAAAUUAAUUUCAUGUACAAAAUAACAAAAAAAAAAGUGUAUAAUGAUAGACAUUAAAUUAAAAAAAAUAAAAAGAAAGGAUUUCGAUCAGAAACAAGUGAAAUAACAAGAAUCAACAAACUUAUUUCAUGCACAAAAUAACAAAAAAAGUAUAUAAUGAGUAGACAUUAAAUAAAAAUACUAAAAAGUAAGGAUUUUGAUCAGAAACAAGUGAAAUACCAUUGUCCUGAAAUCACUAUUUACGUAGGAUUAUUGAUACCAGGGUAUGAUUGGUUCACCUAUUUUAGACUAUGGAAUCGGAAUGAAAUUCAUUGAUUCCGAUAGUUGUCGUUUGUUUUAUAGAAAUCGGAUUCCGAUUUUCAUUCCACUCCGGAAUGAGAAUGGCCAAAUCUAUUAAUGAUCCAAUCCGGCUUUGAAUUCCGGAUUGGCUCAUUUCGAAGUAAACUAUUCAAAAUCCUCUUUCAUCAACACCUAUCUUCUCUCCGUUCAUCACUUUCCUUUCACUUAAUCAAAACCCUCUUUCAAAAAUUUUAAAUUUUCAUUCCGAUUUCCAUUCCAAUAAUGAACCAAACAUUUUUGAAUGAUUUGUCAUUUCAUUUUUCAUUCCAAAGCAAUCCAAUUUCAUUUUCCAUUCCUAUUUUAAUCAUGAACCAAACAUGCCCUCAGUGAAACUAACGAUACAAUGAAUUGACUAUCACUCCAUGCACCAGUAUCCUACCCUGUGGCGAGAGGUCGGAUUGGGACGAAUCAUGUUCGAAAUGGUGGGAGGUCGAGUUGAACCGAGUUAUGUUCGAAGCAGCAAGGGGCCGGUUGGGCUGAGUCACAAUCGAGACCUGUGAACGUUGUAUCUGUACACUUUAUGAACUGGUUGUAUCUUUCUAAUAUCUUUCCAAGAUGUAAUAACGCAAAUAACAGUAAUAAUAUAUUAAUAAUAAUAGUACUAACUUUAAGGCAAAUUUGUUCGAUUAGGGCUAAUAAUAAAAGGCUUCAAUAGUUUUAAAGAAUUAACCCUAUUCCUGAGAGAAACAAUUAAUGGACUAAAUUAAAAUAUAAGAUUAGAGAGAGUAACAUGAGAUUUAGGGCUCUAAUGCAUCUCAUGCAAAAAGAGAGUGAUAAAAAAAAUCCCAAUAAUGAUCCAACUUUGAAUAAAGAGAGAGAGAGAGAGAGAUUUGAAUGGGGGCUUAUCCACUGAAAAAAAACCCUAAUAUACUGUAGACUUAUCCACUAACCCUAUACUACUACACCCCAUUUUAUAUCCCCAAAAAGAGAAAACAAGAAAAAAAGGGUAGUUAUAGAAUGUAACCAGUACAACUUAUCUUUUAUAACUUUCUCUACUUCUAUAUUCUAAUGUCAAUGUGGUAAAAUUAAUUUUCUCAUAGUAGUUCUUAUAUAAUACAAGAAAAAAACAAAACAAAACUUGUAAAAGCAAAAUUUAAGAGGUUCUUUAAUUAAAUUGUUAUUAACAUCCUCCAAAGAAGAUGUAGUAACAUCUCAAUAAUGAAUGUGUACUUCUUAUAUAUAUGUAGGGAAAGGAAAAAGUUAAAUCCUCAAAACAAACUUUUCAAUGAAGAUGAGGUUAAAUAGAGGGGGAAAAAAAAAAUAGCAACACAGGGGAAACAACAGCAUAUGCAUGCACUAUAUGCAUUUUGUAGUACCAUGCAUAUGGAAGUAUCUUGGCUAAAUAUACAAAAGAAUGGCACUUUAUGAACACUAAUAAUAAAAAAAGGAGGACACUACUUACCAAAAGGACAUGGUAUUAUAAAGUAACCUAAAGUGCAUUCAAAAAAUGAAACUACUAACCCUUAAUAUAUCUAUACUACAUAUACAAUGGUGACAAAAGCAAGGGCACCAAGAAGAAGAAUAAUAAGAUGAUGAGCAUAUCUUAUGAACAUGUUUGUUGAUGGUCAUCUAACCAAUAACCUAUGCAUCUCCUCAACCUGCAAAAAUAAAGAAAUUAAUAUACUCAAGCAAGGGGAUAUACAUGCAUGGUUAGAUGACUAUCAACAAAACACAUGCAAAAGCUGCUUUGUUCUUCUUUUU